rnacentral:lncRNA from 1 species
CUUGAUCUUUCUGACAACAAUCUCCCUUCUUCUUCAGUAUACCCUUGGCUUUUCAAUCUUAGUAGGAAUAUUCUUUAUCUUAACCUUGGCUCUAAUUCAUUACGAGGUUCAAUUCCAGAGGCUUUUCAACACAUGGUUUCUCUUAAAAGUCUUUAUCUCUGUGAUAGUGAACUUGAAGGUGGGAUUCCAAAAUUCUUUGGAAACAUGUGUAGCUUAAAAGAGUUAGGCUUGUCUGACAACAAACUCAGUGGACAAUUCUCGCAGGCAAUUCAAAAUCUGUCUUGUGGAUGCGUGGUGAAUUCACUAGAGGUGCUAUAUUUACAUGAUAAUGACUUCACGCGGCCAGUACCUCUUCUUGGAGGAUUUUCAUCCCUGGAAGAAUUGCAGGUGGACGUUAAUCGUUUAAAUGGAACAAUAGACAAGAGCCUCAACCAGUUGUCGAAGCUCGAGUCUCUGUCACUUGAUGGGAAUUCAUUCACGGGUGUUAUCUCUGAAACUUUUUUUUCCAAUAUGUCCAACUUGCAGGAGUUGGUCUUAGCUGAUAACUCUUUUACUCUCAAAUUAAGCCAUAAUUGGGUCCCUCCUUUUCAACUGAAAUGGUUAAGUCUUGCCUCUUGCAAGAUGGGACCUCAUUUUCCGAAAUGGCUUCAAACUCAGAAUCAGCUUGUGCAUCUUGACAUCUCCAAUGUUGGAAUCACAGACAUUAUUCCUGAUUGGUUCUGGGAUUUAUCCAGCAAACUCUCUUACUUAAAUCUCUCUAACAAUCAUAUCAAGGGUAAACUUCCCGAUUUGUCUUUAAGGUUUGAUGGUACUCGUAUUGGUGGUACUAGUAUAGACAUCAAUUCAAACCACUUUGAGGGCUCAAUUCCACCACUUCCUUCAAAUUCGCCUUUCUUAAAUCUCUCUAAAAAUAAGUUCUCAGGAUCAGUUACUUUCUUAUGUUCUAUCAGUGAAAAGACAUGGAACGUUUUAGAUCUCUCGAGUAACUUAUUGUCUGGAGGGCUUCCUGAUUGUUGGUUGCACUUUGAUAGCCUAUUCGUUCUUAACUUGGCAAAUAAUAGAUUCUCAAGAAAAAUACCGAACUAGAUGGGUUUCCUAAAUAACAUCCGGACAUUGAAUUUACACAACAAUAGAUUAACCGGGGAAUUGCCUUCAUCUUUGAGGAAUUGCUCCCAACUGAGAGUUUUGGAUCUCGGGAAGAAUGCAUUUUUUGGUGAGAUACCAACGUGGAUAGGGGAAAGUCUACAAAAUUUGAUUGUUCUUAGCCUAAAAUCUAACAAACUUCAUGCAAAUAUACCUUAUCAAUUGUGCCAUCUGGGAUUAAUUCAAGUCUUGGAUCUUUCUUUCAACAUUAUAUCGGGAAAGAUACCAAAGUGUUUCAAUAAUUUUUCAGCCAUGACCUACGAAAGAUGUUCCAAUCCUACCAUUGGGUUCGGCAAAUGCAUCUUCGUUUCCCCUGGAACUGUAUAUUACUAUAAAUAUUUGAACAAUUUACUGUUGACUUGGAAAGGAAGUGAAAAUGAGUACAAAAGUACUUUGGGACUUGUAAGGUGCCUUGACCUUUCGAGUAACAAAUUAGAUGGAGCAAUUCCUGAAGAGAUUAUGGAUCUUGUGGGGUUGAUUGCCUUAAACCUUUCAAGAAACAAUUUAACCGGACCAAUCACUCCGAAGAUUGGUGAGUUAACAUCAUUGGAUUUCCUGGAUUUGUCUAGAAAUCUGUUUUCUGGAAGUAUUCCAUCUAGCCUCUCUCAGUUAAGUGGUCUUGGUGUCUUGGACUUGUCGUACAACAACUUGUCAGGAAAAAUCCCAUUAGGCACUCAGCUCCAGAGCUUCAAUGCUUCAGUGUACGCUGGAAAUCUUGAACUUUGUGGCCUUCCACUCGCAAAUAAGUGUCCGAAUGAAGAAUCAACUCCAAGUCCAGGCACAGACGAUUAUUCAGACGCUCUAGAAGAUGAGGACGAUUAGUUUAUAACUCUCGAAUUUUAUGUGAGCUCGAUUCUUGGUUUCUUUGUUGGAUUCUGGGGAGUCUGCGGAAAUUUAAUGCUGAAUAGGUCGUGGAGACAUGGUUACUUCAACUUCCUGACUGGUAUGAAAGAUUGGGUCUUUGUGACAGCAGCUGUGAAUAUUGCCAAACUGAAAGAAAGUUUAGGAACUAACUAAACGGUAAUACUCCUUAAACAUUGGGUUUCAGUCAUUGUUAUCAGCUCACGUGCUUUUAAUUUCUUCAUCCUUAAAUUUUACUUUUUUCUCUUGCAAGCUUUUGUUCCUCCAACUAAUUGUUCAUUUUUUGUUUUUUCAUUCACCAUCUUUUUGGCAGGGUAUCUCUGGGAUGGCAUCUUGCCAUUAUUAGUCAGAGUGGUCAUUUGAUAUUUGGACUCUUUCUAAAAAAUUAACUCAUAUGAUGCACAUUGUAUUAUUGAGUGUAUGCUUGAAGAAACUUGUAUGUGGUUUCUCUUUAGACCAUCGUCGAUCUAUGCGUUUAUAUACUCUGGUUAGAGUUCAAUUAUACUAUUAAUCCAUUACAGCAAUAAAAGCAGUCAAAUUCUGCUCUACUAUUGAUCAGCUCUUUUUUUUUUUUUUUUUUCAUUGGGCGAAUAAAUAAUAAAAGACAAAACAAAUCUUUCUAUUUAAAGAGUUGUUGACUAAUAAAACUGCUAAAUGGGUGAUAAAAUUAGUUAAUUAAUUAAUUAAACUAGAAUAAUCUUAUUAACAAAGUAGGUGGUAGGUUCGUAUGAUUCCGGAUCAUUGGUAGUGAAAUGUGAACGAAGAAAUCGAACUUUUCAACAAUUUGUUCUUACUGUAUUCGAACUGGUUAUUGAUUAAAUUUGAUUAAAUUUCUAUGAAGAUGACUUGUAAUAAAUGAAUAAAGACUUAAAUAUUAUUUUCAGAGAAGACUAUUGACUCGAAUGCAGACUCUGUAAUAUGAUUGAAUAUCACACAAGACUUUUCUAUCCUAAUUUUUAUCAAUUUUCCGAACGUAUCAUCACAUGCCAUCACAUUCAAGACCCAGCUGACUCUAUAAUAUAACUAACGUGCACAUUAAUAUUAUAACUAACGUGCUACUGUCAUUGUGGGGCCCUUUUUUGACUCAUUGGACUUUUUUUUUGUUUUGUUUUGCAUGCAAAAUUGGCGCGGCCGUAACCGUUGAUCCGUUGACUUGCCAAUCGUCAAAUGCUAUUGGUAAAAGAAGAAACGCUUCGUAUUUGUGUGGGGUCCACUAAGAGUGAGAAAUUUCUUCUGUUGUUUGGUUCAUUGUCCAGCCGCCGUUUCUACUUUUAAUCAACGGUGGCCCGGGACGAUGACGUGGGUUGAGAACAUAAUGCCAUCAUGCCAUUGAAUAGAGUGGCAAGAUGGUAAAUAAAGACAACCUUACGUGCAUUUUUGAAUGGUAAUGACUUGUGGUUUAAUUUGGCGUUUUGCUAAAUUAUACUAACUCGAAAUUAAUUUUUUUUUGUAUGGCUAAUUAUUGUUGCUUUGUUAAAUAAUUAAAGAGCUAUGGGAAUAGUGAAUUUUGUUGCCCUCUCCCUUGUAACGUGGCACAUAAUUGCAUAUGUGUUAAAUUAUUUAUUACCUAAGAGCAUGACAAUAUUAGAAGAGAAAGAGAGAAAAUAAAUAGAAGACACGAUAUUUAAAGAUGAAUUUUAUUCAAUCUCAAGCAUAUACAACUAAGGAGAUGAGCUCCACUUUUGUAAUCACAUAACCUUGUAAAUGAAGUAAAUAAUUCGUAAAUAAAUAUAUUAUUAGACAUAAGUUCUUUUAAGAUAGUGAAAGUUAUAAGAAAUGAAGAGUUGUUUGAUGUGAAGAUAAAAGAUUCUUUGAUAAACAACUACAUAAAUUAUGAUUAUUUGAUAACAUUUCUCCUUAGAUGUUCAUCCUAAAAAGAAUAUGUCUCAUUGAAACUUUUGCUGGUAAAAAUCUUAUGAGAAACAGGCUAGCAAAGUAAAAAAGUACACUAUUCAUUUAUACCUUAUAGAGGUAGGGGAUAAAUGGCCUCGUUAAAACCUUACUAAGAAAAUUGAAUGGAACAAAAACCUAGUGAAGGAAAAAGAAUAUAGUGCAUGGAGCGUUCUAUGUCCAUAACUCCCUUCCCUUCAAUAAGAACGCUUAAGGAAACUACAGCUUCAAUAUACAUAUUAACAAUCUCAUAUUGCUACUACCGGAGCAUAAAUGAGCUAUAAAAUAUUUACACAUACCACAUGUUCUCUUUAAAUAUGUGCUUGAUGAUUUUCUCCUCAUAUACAUAUAAAAACAAGAAAAUCAUAUCAUGAGCUUUUGUUUGAUCUUUGGUGAUCGCAUGUUUUCUUUAUCAUGAGCUUUUGUUUGAUCUUUCAUGAGCUUUUGUUUGAUCUUUGGUGAUCGCAUGUUUUCUUUUAUUUGUUUAAAAGAAAAACAAACUAUCCAUUUGGAUAUUCAAUUUUCGAUCCUUCAAGGAGAUAAAAUAAAUCACAAUUUUAAUUCAAUCCUUGAACAUCUUCCAUAUAUUAUGUUAUUUUUCCUUCAAAAAUUUUCAAAGAAACAAUUAUGCCUUAUUUAUAUAAUCAUUUUCUAAUUCCUUUUGGGAGAAAUGGAGAAGAACAUUCAUAUAUAGUCUUAUAUGACAUAUACAUAAACUUAUACUAUUUGUUUAGUCCUGUGGGAAGUAAAAUAUACACUUAAUAGUGAAUCCUUCAUAAAAUAUGUUUCUGAAGAAUUAUUGUAAAAGUAUGAUGUUCUUCAUUACUGAUAUCUGUUUGAAUUGAACAGGCCAUCUGACUGCCAUGAGUAAUUUAUACGGCAUUGGAGUUGUUCUUCUAGAGCAAUUGACAGGAAGGAAGUACGUUGAUAAGACAAGACCAAGCUUAGAGCAAAGCUUGGUAGAUUGGGCCCGCCCAAAACUAAGGGGGCAGCGGGGUUUGGUACCUCAGUCGUUUGUCUUUUAGCACAGCCACAGUUAGAUUUCAUCUCACGGCUGCAGAAGAGACACAGAGACGCUGGGGAGUAACCUGACAAAAAGGUAAUGGGCCGGUAAGCUGCAGGAAAUCGACUUUUUGACAAAACAACGCAUGUAAAGGGUUGGAAGUUAUUUAACAAGCCACGCAUGUAAUGAGUGCAAGCAAGUAGUUGUUGAAAACAAGUUGCAAGUAGUGGUUGAAAACAAGUUGCUGGAAGCGUGCAAGUACAGGUUGGGGUAAGAGUGAUUUGAAAUUUUCGAAAAUAGUGACGAAAAUAUUUGGAAGUGGAUUUAAGUGAUCAGGUAAUGCAUUGCGUACUUGGUGGGGAAAAAGGGGUAAUAUCAAUUUUAAUCCCGAAACUAGCCUUGCAUGAAUUUAUAGUUAAGUUAUCCUAUAAUUCUUUUCUGUGGAAAAGAGGAGUAUGAGUUAAGUAAAUGAAAACCACAUAAAAAAAUGUGACUAACAAUUAAAUACCAUGUAUAAUAAUAAUAAUAAUAAUAAUAAUAAUAAUAAUAAUAAUAAUAAUAAUAAUAAUAAUAAUAAUAAUAUUACCAUGUAUAAUAAUAAUAAUAAUAUUAUUAUUAUUAAUUAAUUAAUUAUGAUCAAUCAAGAAUGACAGUCUAAAUUGAGGUGAGGGAUAAGUUAAAAGAGAAAAAAAAUAAAGAGAAAAUUAUUUUGGGCUUGUUGAACCAAACACCCUAUCCUAGCUAUUUUCAUUAGUCAUCUGUCACGAGAUGAGUGUUUUAUGUUGCAAAUCGGUGUAAUAUUUAGACGACUUCUAGUACGUAAGUUGCAAAAUAAGCUUAGAACACUUCUCAAAUUAGCGAAAUAAGGAUGCUUACGAAAAUGUUACAGAGAAGUAAGAAAAAUAUGGCCAAAUGUAAUUUUAUUACUCACUAAAGAUAAAUUACAAGAGAGCUUUGUACAAGAGUUAGAGAGAUUGUGUGUGUGCUGGUUAGUUUGUGUGUGUGUUGCGUGGUUGUGCAAAAUGGCAAGUACAAUGGGGUAUUUUUAGGCUUGGAUGCCAAGCACUUGAAGUUUCUUAGCAACUUGCAUAAAUAUCUCCUAAGACAUAAAUGCGCAAUUCUAUAAAACUCUAGUCAUGAUUGCAUGCAAGGCAGAUCCUUCGAGGCAUAACAAACACUUCUGUAAUCCAAUAUAUUAUAUUGCGAAAUAUUUUUAAAGAUGUGUUACUAUGGCUUUUUAGUAGAUUGGACAUAGUUUUGUUUUCAUGUGUUAUUGUGUUAUGAAUGUAUCCAAGAAAUUCAAGUUUUGAUAAUGCCACAAGCUUUCCCCUUGUCAUUGGAAUUGGCUAUGAAGGUGUUGAGCAUUCUACCUUUUAAGCUGUUAAAUCUAUUCUCGUUGUAGGUGUACCUAAUGUUGUUGGCCUCCGGGUGAUUGAGGAAUAACAAUACUGUUAUUCAUUGUGUUUUCCUUGCUUGGCCCGUAAAUAUUUGGCAUGAAUUACUUAAGUUUUAACUUUUGCUGGUGGCUUAUGAUAUUCAUUGUGGCACUCUCACUUUGUGGCUUAAUGGUUUUCAAAAUCAUCAUGCACUGAAAUUGACUUGCAUUUUUUUUUUUUCAUGCAUGGUUAGUGUUGGAUAUUGUGGGGCAUUAUCUUGUAACUCAAGGUUUCUAAAGUGGUUAUGUAAGUUGAUGGCAUAAGGUAUUGCAUUGAAGAAAAGACCUGAUAUCAAUUAAUGAAUUUGUGUGUUAGCUAAAUUUUCGGUUUCAAUACCCAAGUGAAUUAAUGAAACUUAUAUUGAACAACAAAGUUGUGUUGUUAGCCUCCUCUAUGUUGAGAAAUAAAUAAGUUCUAACAUUAAUCCAAUAAUUAUAGACUAUAUUAAAAAAUUAAACAGGUAUAUGUCCUCCCUUACGGCACCUUAUUCUCCAGUCUCUGUCAUAAAUUGACUUGUGGUUUGACUCUCUCUCUGCCCCCCAAAUCCUACCAGACAAGAGCCAAUUUGCGUAUUUUUUUUUUCAGAAAUUUUAUAAGCAGAAAUCUUAAUAUCAAAACCUAGAAAUUGUUCAGUGGAGUUCUUUAGAGAUGUAAUAUUCACUACUUGGGAAAAACCUAAUAAAAUAAAUAUUAAAGACUUUCAGGAACAAAGGAUUACAAAUUUUUUCUUCCAGUCCUUCUUCCGUAACGCCAUACUCAUCUCCUGGAGUUAUUUUGUUACUGUGAUUUUGGCUGAGAUGAACAGUUUUUUAUAGAAAAAUAUUAAUGGUCAUACUUUCAUUAGUGCUUUGCUGUAGCUCAGGCACAAUAGCGGCUUGACCUUUAGACAACUUAGGCGGUUGCCUAGAGCCCCACUUUAUAUAAAGGCCCCAUGAGAUGAUUAUUUUAUAUAUAAAAGGGAAAAGUGAAUUUAAAAGUCAUUAUUAUGCAUUUAAUUUAUUAUUAUUUUGUAAUUAUCUUUUUCUAAAUAAACUAUCAAAUUCUUAUAAAGUUUAUUUAAUGUAGUACUUAGUAGUUUUAAUUCCUACAAAAUCGAUAAAUUAUUAGUUUCAAUCCUACAAAUUCUCUAUUUUAUUGUUAGAAUUAAUAUGUUAUAAUUAAAAAGUUUUAUAUUCAUUUUAAACCUCUAUAAAAGCCCCACAUUUUAUUACUUAUCCAUUAAAUUUUUCCUCCAACAAUCAAGAUACGAUAUGAUCUUAGUGUUUGAGAGAAAGAAAGAGAAAGAGGGAAAAAAAAUCCUGCUUCUUCUACUUUCCACUCAAGAAGAAAAAGAAAAAAUCUAAUAGUUUUCUCAAUUCUCUAUGGCCAUUGGUCAUUACUCAAAUUCUCAAACAAUUAAUAUAACGACAAAGUUAAUUUAUGAUUUCAUCUUAAAUUCCAGAUUUUAUCUUUUUUUAUUCCCUUAAUUAGUUGUGUUAUUUAUUUGUUCUUGUUUUUUUUUUAAUAUAUUCUUUUAUUCAUCUAUUUUUUUUGUGUGUGCUUGUUUGAUCUAUUUUUAAAUAAAAACUAUAUCGAAAAACUUUAGAAAAUAGAAGAAUAUAAAAUUUAGUUUAAUCUAGAAAAGGAGUAGUAAAAAAUAUGUAAUUUGAGUUAAAAAAACAAUAAGUGAAAAUGUUAUAAUUGAAUUAAAAUUUCAUGGAUUAGAAAUAGUAGAAUAGAAUUUUAUUUAAUAAUUUUACAUUUUAGAUUGUUUAAAGAAUUGAUUUUCAAUAAAUAAUAUUUAACUAUAUAUAUUGUCCUAAAUUUUAAAAAGAACUAAUUAAAACCAUUUGCCUAAAGUCCCAAAUAUGGUUGAGCCGGCCCUGCUGGAGCCCACAAGUAGCUCCACCCCUGAAUUUAAUAAUUAGCAUUAUUAUUCAUUUCUAUAAACUAUGAUAAUAGAGUAGUAGAUUAUUACUAUUUGUAUCUUUUUAUUUUCUUCAAAUUAGCAUUAUUUAUCUCCAUAAUUUUUAUAAAAUUUUUCAUAUAACCCAUCAUAAACUGUAAUAAAAAUGAUUUACAUGUUUUAAUUCAUAAUUUUGAAGGAUUGUUUUCACUUCAACAUCAUUUAUGUAAUGAUAAAAAUAUAAAUAUUAUCUUCUUCAUCAAGAUAUUUAUUACUUCUUUAGCAUUUAAAAUUUGUAAGCACACAAAUGUAAAAAGUAUAUAGGACACAAAUGUAAAAGUAUAUGUUUUCUAACUUUUAUGUUGAAGAGAAAAAAAAAAUAGCCCUACAUUUAGUAAGUCAAAUUUAAUUUUGUUGGCACAUGAUUCAAAAUUUACUUUCAUGACAUCGAAUUACACUUCCCAUUACAUCAUUAAAACACAUAAUCUACCUAUAUUCCACCAGAAAAUUAUUUUUCCGAAAGCCUGUUGACCUGAACGAAGACUUUUUGAGAAGGACAUUUUAGCUUACUUCAGUGAAGAAUAUAAAUUAAGAGGCAAUUGGCUGCCGCUUGGACUACGCGGUUGUUCCGUGAAAAAUUGGGUACCUGCAAUUUUCUGUCAGCGCUCUCUCAUCAAUUUUCCCCGGCAAAGAUCACUUGAAUGUUGACUGCAUGACUUAUGUAUUGUUGUUGUCUGUUUGGGAUUCGCCGGAGGAUUUUCUUGGCUAAUGUCAUCUCAGACCGUGAUAGGCUAACCGUAAUCAACGCUCACAAUGAAGACUUUUCUAAGCUUCAAUAAUUGAUGCUUAUUAUACAGAUUAAUAUAAAUUGGCAUGGAUUCCAGGAUUUGCGAUAUAACAACAUAUCCUGAAAGCUUAUGAUAAUUACAAUGUUAUCCAAAUUGUUCCCUAUACUUGAAUAUGUAGCUUUGCUUUCUAUGAUAUUUUUUCAAUUGGAGCCUAGAAUUGCUGAUUCUAACAACAUGGUAAUGAGGUGCAUUGAUGAGGAGAGAGAAGCGCUUCUCACUUUUAAACAGAGCUUGGUGGAUGAACAUGGCGUUCUGUCUUCCUGGGGAAGAGAAGAUGACAAAAGAGAUUGCUGUAAAUGGAGAGGAGUCCGUUGUAGCAAUAAAACUGGCCAUGUCAAGGUGCUCAAUCUUCGAAGAUCCGACGAUGAAAAUGCUCGAGGGAAGGUCUUGAAAGGUACAAUUAGUCCUGCUUUGCUUAAAUUGCAUGAUUUAAGACAUUUGGACCUUAGUAACAAUCACUUCGGUGGAAGCCCAGUUCCUGAGUUCAUUGGUUCCCUCAGUAGAUUGAGGUACCUCAAUCUCUCUUGUGGUACAUCUUUAUUAAAAGUUCCUCGUCCAUUCCAGUACCUUUCAGGAUUGGUAUAUCUUCGCCUAGAAAACUCUAAUUUAUUUAGUUUGGGAAGCCUAGAGUGGCUUUCUCAUCUUUCUUCUUUAAGACACCUUGACCUGAGUUACAUUAAUCUCACUAAAUCUAGUGAUUGGUUUCAAGUAGUUGCCAAGCUCCGUUCCCUAAAAACAUUAGUCCUACGCUCGUGUGCUCUUCCACCUAUCAAUCCAUCGUUUAUUUGGCACUUCAAUUUGAGUACGUCUAUUGAGACCCUUGAUCUCUCCGACAACAAUCUCCCUUCUUCAUCAGUAUACCCUUGGCUUUUCAAUCUUAGUCGGAAUAUUCUUGUUCUUGACCUUGCCUUUAAUUCAUUACGAGGUUCAAUUCCAGAGGCUUUUCAACACAUGGUUUCUCUUAAAAGUCUUUGUCUCUCUGCUAGUGAACUUGAAGGUGGGAUUCCAAAAUUCUUUGGAAACAUGUGUAGCUUAAAAAAGUUUGGCUUGCCUUACAACAAACUCAGUGGACAAUUCUCACAGGUAAUUCAAAAUCUGUCUUGUGGAUGCGUGGUGAAUUCACUAGAGGGGCUAUAUUUACAUGAUAAUGACUUCACGGGGCCAGUACCUCAUCUUGGAGGAUUUUCAUCCUUGGAAGCAUUGAAGCUUGACAUUAAUCGUUUGAAUGGAACUAUAAACGAAAGCCUCAGCCGCUUGUUCAAGCUUAAGACUCUGUCAUUUGAUAGGAAUUCAUUCACCUUUAGGUGGCAAUGAUAUCACAGGGCCAUUACCUGAUCUUGGAGGUUUUUCAUCCCUAAAAAUAUUAAUACUUGGAGAAAAUCGAUUAAAUGGAACAAUAGACAAAAGCCUCAGCCAGUUGUUGAAGCUCGAGUCUCUGUCACUUGGUAGGAAUUCAUUCACAGGUGUUAUCUCUGAAACCUUUUUUUCCAAUAUGUCCCACUUGCAUUCCCUUGAUGUCUCCAAUAAUGGAAUCUCGGAUGCUGUCCCUGAUUGGUUUUGGGAUCUGUCCAUUGAACUCGUUUUUUUAAAUCUCUCUAACAACCAGAUCAGGGGUAAACUUCCUGAUUUGUCUUUUUUAAGAUAUGAUGAUAUUGUUAUAGACGUCAGUUCAAACCACUUUUGUGGCCCAAUUCCACCACUUCCUUCAAAUUCUACGUUCUUGAAUCUCUCAAAAAAUAAGUUUUCUGGAUCAAUUACUUUCUUAUGUUCUAUUAUGAAAAACACAUGGAACUUUUUUGAUUUCUCAAGUAACUUAUUAUCUGGAGGGCUUCCAUAUUGUUGGUUGAACUUUGAUAGCCUAUCCAUUCUUAAUUUGGCAAACAAUAGCUUCUCCGGGAAAAUUCCAGACUCAAUAGGCUUCCUACAUAAUAUCCAAACACUGAGCUUACACAAUAAUAGGUUAACCGGGGAAUUGCCUUCAUCUUUAAAGAAUUGCUCACAACUGAGAGUUUUGGAUCUUAGGGAGAAUGCAUUGUACGGUGGGAUACCAACCUGGAUAGGGGGAAGUCUUCAAAAUUUGAUUGUUCUUAGCUUGAAAUCUAAUAAUUUUCAUGGAAAUAUUCCUUUUCAGUUAUGCCAUCUGGCAUUCAUUCGAGUCCUGGAUCUCUCUUUAAACAAUAUAUCGGGAAAGAUACCAAAGUGUUUCAAUAAUUUCUCAGCCAUGACCCAAGACAAAAGUUCCAAUCCUAUCAUGGGAAUGGUUGAUAAAAUCUGGAUUUUCCCUAGAUAUGUAUAUCAGUAUAGUUAUUUGGACAAUGUUCUGUUGACAUGGAAAGGAAGUGAACACGAGUACAAAAGUACUUUGGGACUUGUAAAGUGUCUUGACCUUUCGAGUAACAAACUAGAUGGAGCAAUUCCUGAAGAGAUUAUGGAUCUUGUGGGGCUGAUUGCCUUAAACCUUUCAAGAAACAAUUUAACUGGAUCAAUCACUCCGAAGAUUGGUGAGUUAACAUCAUUGGAUUUCCUGGAUUUGUCUAGAAAUCUGUUUUCUGGAAGUAUUCCAUCUAGCCUCUCUCAGUUAAGUGGUCUUGGUGUCUUGGACUUGUCGUACAACAACUUGUCAGGAAAAAUCCCAUUAGGCACUCAGCUCCAGAGCUUCAAUGCUUCAGUGUACGCUGGAAAUCUUGAACUUUGUGGCCUUCCACUCGCAAAUAUGUAUCCGGAUGAAGAAUCAACUCCAAGUCCAGGCACAGACGAUGAUUCAGACACUCUAGAAGAUGAGGAUGAUCAGCUUAUAACUCUCGGAUUUUACGUGAGCUCGAUUCUUGGUUUCUUUGUUGGAUUCUGGGGAGUCUGCGGAACUUUAAUGCUGAAUAGGCCGUGGAGACAUGGUUACUUCAACUUCCUGACUGGUAUGAAAGAUUGGGUCUAUGUGAUAGUAGCUGUGAAUAUUGCCAAACUGCAAAGAAAGUUUAGGAACUAACUAAACGGUAAUACUCCUAAACAUUUUCAGUCAUUCUUAUCAGCUCACGUGCUUUUAAUUUCUUCAUCCUUAAAUUUUACUUUUUUCUCUUACAAGCUUUUGUUCCUCCAACUAAUUGUUCAUUUUUUUUUUAAUUCACCAUCUUUUUGGCAGGGUAUCUCUGGGAUGGCAUCUUGUCGUUAUUAUUCAGAGUGGUCAUUUGAUAUUUGGAAUCUUUCUGAAAAUUAACUUAUAUGAUGCACAUUGUAUUAUUGAGUAUAUGCUUAAAGAAACUUGUAUGUGGUUCUCCUUUGACCAUCGUCGAUCUAUGCGUUUAAUUAUUCUGGUUAGAGUCCAUUACCGCAAUAAAAGCAGUCUGCUCUGCUGUUGAUCAAUGUUAGCUCUUUUUUCCUUUUCAUUGGGUGAAUAAAUAAAGACAAAACGAAUCUUUCUAUUUAAAGAGUUGUUGACUAUAAAACUAUUAAAUGGAUGACAAAAUUAAUUAAUUAAUUAAACUAGAAUAAUCUUAUUAACAAAGUAGGUGGUAGUUUCGUAUGAUUCCAGAUCAUUGGUACUAAAAUGUGAAGGAAGAGAUCGAAUUUUACAAUAAUUUGGUUUUACUGUAUUCGAACUGGUUAUUGAUUAAAUUCGAUUAAGUUUCUAUAAAGAUGACAUAUAAUGAUGAUGAUCAAAGACUUAAAUAUUAUUUUCAGAUAAGACUAUUGACUUCAAUGCAGACACUGUAAUAUGAUUGAAUAUCACACAAGACUUUUCUAUCCUAAUUUUUAUCAAUUUUCCAAACGUAUCAUCACAUACCAUCACAUUCAAGACCCAGGUGACUCUACAACUAACGUUUUACUAACGCACAUUAAUAUUACAUUGCAUUUUCACUGCCAUGGCCAAUUUCAGCGUUUCUCAUCAUUACGCUCUAUUUUGGCAAGUAUGGUAGGAAUCUUUAAAAUAACGUACAAGAAUCAAGGGGAAGAAAUAGGAAACUGUAAAGAAACAUAAGUGGGAUAUAUAGUUUGUGAGAGCAUUCAAUUCAGUUCAUGGGGGCAUAAGCUUAAAUAAUUGAUGCAAUUUUAAGAGGGUUUUUUCCCCCCUUGUACAAGGCUAGCCUCCGUAUGUGACACUAUGAGCACACAACAGUGGUGAAUAAUAUUGCCAAAUUGCAACAAAGCUGCAGGAGCUAAAAGUUAAGUGUGUGACUAAUAUUGCCAAAUUGUUAAUACUUAUAGUUUACCAAACUUGUACCAGGCUACAAUUUUGUCUAAUUGAUUUUUCUAAGGACAGAGUUAGUACUAGGUAAGUAGGGCAGUUGCCCUUGCUUGAUUAGAACAAGCGGUCGUAAAUUGUAUUCAUCAUUUGAGUGUCUGUUCCUAUGAACUGAAUUGAAAUACCCCAUGAGUUGAAGAAUUUAAGCUCGUACCCUUGUCAACUUAAUUGAAAUGCCCCAUGAGUUGAAGUUGCGAUCCCUUAAAUUGAAUUCAGAGAAUGAGAAUCCCCAUUCUCAACCCCCCAUGGGAAUGAGAUUCUCAUUCCUUAUUUCUAAAUUAUGUGAGACCCACAUAUUUUAUUCUCGUUCUCAAAUUACAUUUUUCCAAAUAAACAUGAGUUUCAUUCUCAUUCAUUCAUUCAUUCCUUCAUUCCUUCAUUCCCAUUCCCCAAACCCUCAAGUAAACACACCAUUAAUUGAAAUGCCCCAUGAGUUGAAGUUGCCAUCGCUUAAAUUGAAUUCAUUAUUAAGUUGCCACUCUUAUAGGUAUUGGAAAUUAUCAAAAGCCACAGGGCAGGCAGAAAGUCAAUGAGGCCAUUGGAUUGGAUUGCUAUUGCAUAUUAAGCUCCUGUUGCUGCAGCUACUGCUAUUUUUUAAAUCCACUCACUUGGUCAAGAAAUUUUUUCAGAUGCUCCUAAAAAUAUUUAUAUAUAUAAUAUGUUUGACUUAAGAUUAUACUCCAAACUGAGAACCAAUACAGUUAAACAAAAAAGGUUUUCUUUCAGCAUUAGUUUUUAUAACUCCAUCCUUGACGCACUAGAUUAAAUCACUAACUUUCAUACAAACUACAAAAGAGAAGUGCAUGCAAUUGUAUCACAAAAUCCAUAAGUAUGUCAACACGAAAAGAUGUAGAGAAAUUGGAUUAUUAAUUUUCAACAGAGAGUAUCUGAAUUUUUGCAGCAUCAAGAUCAGAACCAAACUAGAUAACAGAUACAAUAAAGCAAGUGGUGAAGAAAUAGCACGAAGACACUCAGAAAAAGCAAAUUUAAAUUUGACGAGCUCCAGAUGCUUAACCUAAAAAUAACAGAGAUAUUGCAGGUUUAUAUAAUAGGAAAGAUGACACAGAAAAAGCAUGGAAAAGCUCACAGCUCCGUUGAAAACCGAAAAUCCAGCAUUGGCUUGCAGCCACGCUCAGUCUCGUCCUGAAAUCAGACUGAAUUCUGGGUAUGUGUAAAACAGGACAGCAGCCUCAUCCAAUUAUGUUCACCUAUAAACAUUAUGAAGUCAUACGACGUUUUUGUCUAUAAAUGAGAAAAAUAAAGUACUGUUGAUCUUUUGAGAAACAUAAUGAUAAUUCGAAAUGAAAAAUAGAUACGAACAAUGUAUGUGCUAUGCGUAUUUAAAAAGGAGAUUUCCCAUUAUAGACAUGCUCUUUAAGAGUUAAGAGACAUAAAGUACAUGGCAAUUGUAUGGUUCCCUUGGGCAUCCCAGCCAACCUAAAAUGGGAUUUUGCAGGAUCAGGCACUAGACUCCACCACAUUCCUGCUUUAGUUUCAAAAUAUCCGAGAUAGAUUAUCUAUAUUCUUAUUUUUUGUGCCCUCCACUCUUUAUACUCUUCUACUAUAAGUUAUCUACAUUUAAAUUUCUUAGUUUUGAUUGCAGCUCAUUGAAUCUGUCUUUUGUCUGCCAUAUAGCAGAUACAGAGAGAGCUCUUGAUGAGCUUAACUUGUUUGCCCAGUGCACUCUUGAUUAACAUUGAACCAAAACUGAAUUGAAAGAAUUAAGAAAAAGGAGAGAAAUAAAUAGUUUGAAGAUAUGAAAAAUUGUUUCUUUUUCUUUGUCCUAUUUUGAUGACAAGAAGACUUAUAAACAUAGUUAGGGAACAAUUUUUUUUUUUUUUUUAUAAUGAUUGAUCCUGCAAACAGAAUAAACUUCAAUAAAAAUAAUAGAGAUGUCGCCAAACAAUAUUUAACUUCAAUAAAAAUAAUAAAGAUGUUGCCAAACAAUAUUUAGAGCGACAUAGUAAACAGAAGCAUAAAGAGCGACAUAGUUAACAGAAGCAUAAAGCUAAAACACACAACAUAACUACAAAAAAUUAAAAUAAAUAUGCUGCGUCUGUAGAGAAUUUGUAGCUUGGAAAUUCAUUAAUGUUUCAUUACUCGAUAGAAGAAGUAAAGCCAAACUAGUCAUCGAAAAAUUUUGGGUGCUCCUGGAACAUUACUCCUUUUUCAUUUAUUGCUUGUCAUGUGUAUGAUUCAACGAAUCAUGAUAAUAUAUAUACAUACAUGGCAAGCAUUAAAUUAUUAAGGAGUAAUACUCCAGAAGCACAAAAAACCCAUCAUGUUAUGAGCGCCAUUUGACUACAGAAAGGUACAUAGUAAUAAAUAAUAAAAGACUAAAAUAUCAUUUUCAGAGAAGAUUAUUGACUUGAAUGAAACUCUGUAAUAUCAUUGAAUAAUACACAAGACAUUUCUAUCCUAAUUUUUAUCAAUUUUACGAACGUAUCAUCACAUACCAUGACAUUGCAUUGCAUUGCAUUACAUUCAAGACCCAGCUGACUCUAGCUAAUGUGUUACUAACGCACAUUGCGUUGCAUUUUCACUGCCAUGCCCAAUUUCAGCAUUUCUCACCAUUACUCUCUGUUUAGGUCAGUUUGGUAGGAAUCUUCAAUACUAUGUAAAAGAAUCAAGGGAAGAAAUAAGAAACUAUAAAGGAAUAUUAAGUGGAAAAUUGAGUUUGUGAGAGCAUUUCAAUUCAGUUUAUGCGGGGCAUAAGCUUAAAUGAUGGGUGUAAUUUUAAGAGUCUUUUCUCUUAAUCAACCAGCGUGAAUAAUAUUGCCAAAUUGUUAAUACUUAUAGUUUACCAAACUUGUACCAGGCUACAAUUUUGUCUAAUUGAUUUUUCUAAGGACAGAGUUAGUACUAGGUAAGUAGGGCAGUUGCCCUUGCUUGAUUAGAACAAGCGGUCGUAAAUUGUAUUCAUCAUUUGAGUGUCUGUUCCUAUGAACUGAAUUGAAAUACCCCAUGAGUUGAAGAAUUUAAGCUCGUACCCUUGUCAACUUAAUUGAAAUGCCCCAUGAGUUGAAGUUGCGAUCCCUUAAAUUGAAUUCAGAGAAUGAGAAUCCCCAUUCUCAACCCCCCAUGGGAAUGAGAUUCUCAAACUUCAAUAAAAAUAAUAGAGAUGUCGCCAAACAAUAUUUAGAGCGACAUAGUAAACAGAAGCAUAAAGCUAAAACACACAACAUAACUACAAAAAAUUAAAAUAAAUAAGCUGCAUCUGUAUAGAAUUUGUAACUUGGAAGUUCGUUAAUGUUUCAUUACUCGAUAGAAGAAGUAAAGCCAAACUAGUCAUCGAAAAAUUUUGGGUACUCCUGGAACAUUACUCCUUUUCCAUUUAUUGCUUGUCAUGUGUAUGAUUCAAUGAAUCAUGAUAAUAUAUAUAAAUACAUGGCAAGCAUUAAAUUAUUAAGGAGCAAUACUCUAGAAGCACCAAAAACCCAUCAUGUUAGAGCGCCAUUUGACUACGGAAAGGUACAUAGUAAUAAAUAAUAAAAGAAUAAAAUACCAUUUUCAGAGAAGACUAUUGACUUGAAUGAAGACUCUUUAAUAUCAUUGAAUAAUAAUACACAAGACAUUUCUAUCCUAAUUUUUAUCAAUUUUACGAACGUAUCAUCACAUACCAUCACAUACCAUCACAUUGCAUUGUAUUGCAUUACAUUAAUGACCCAGCUGACUCUAGCUAACGUGUUACUAACGCACAUUGCAUUGCAUUUUCACUGCCAUGCCCAAUUUCAGCAUUUCUCACCACUACCAAUGAUAAUUACAACAUCAUUUUCAGAGACCUUGUUAACUUACAUUAUAAGGUAACUUAACACCACCUCAUUUUCUGAGAAGACUAUUGACUUGAAUGAAGAAUCUGUUGUUGACUCAUGACAAAUCUCAAUCUUUCUUGUGCACGCAUUACCACCUUAGUAAUUCAAUUUCAACCCUCUGAUUGUUUUGCCUACUGACAAGUUGCAGUAUUUUGAAUUACAAAUCUCCCGUCAUCACUUCCCCAUUCAGACAUUUGAUCGAACACCAAGCUGAAUUCUUCAAACACACUGCUAAUCUUAACUCUUAAAAUUUUCUGAUUGAAUUUAAAUGACAGUAAAUUUUUCAUUGUAGUUAAUUACAAGUUACUAAUUAAGUAUUUCUAUAUUAGUUAAUUGUAUGAAAAUAAUCGAUGAACUUAUCCUCCUCUAGAAUUAUGAAUCUAGAUUGUACACUUAUAGGUAUUGGAAAUAAUCAAAAGCCACAGAGCAAGAAGAAAGUCAUUGAAGCCCUUGGAUUGGAUUGCUGCUAUUGCAUAUUAAGCUCCUGCUGCAGCAGCUAGUGCUAUUUUUUGAAUCUACUCAAUUGGUCAAGAAAGUUUUUUGGAUGCUUCUAAAAAUAUUUAUAUGUAUAGUACCUUUCACUUAAGAUUGUACUCCAAGCUGAGAACCAAGACACAGUUAGACAAAAAGGUUUUCUUUCUGCGUUAGUAUUUAUAAAUUCAAACCUUGACACACUAGACUAAAUCUCUAACUUUCAUACAAACUACACACUUUUCUGGAAGCAUUCCGUCUACCCUUCCUCUGCUGUACCGUACAUCCGCCUUGGCCGUACAGCAGUAACAAAUACGCAAUAGGCAAGUGGUGAAGAAAUAGAGCGAAGACACCAGGAAAAGGCAAGUUUAAGUUCGAUAAGCUCCAGAUGCUCAACUGCAAAAUAACAGAGAUAUUGCAGGUUUAUAUAAUAGGAAAGAUGACACAGAAGAAGCAUGGACAAACUCACAGCUCUUUUGAAAGCCAAAACUCCAGCAUUGGCUUGCAGCCACACUCAGUCUCGUCCUGAAAUCAGAGUCAAUUUUGAUGACAUGAAGCCUUAUAAACAUAGUUAGAGAAGAUUAAACUUUGUUCAUAUUGAAAAAUGGUUAACUCUUCCAUUUCUUGUCCACAUAAACCUUAAAGGCAGACACAAGGUCGCUUCUAGAACCUUUGACAGCGGCCACUAUAACUAAGAUGAUUCAAAACAAAAAUAUCAUAUUCACAAAAAUAAGAUAUACAGGAACAGGGAACUCUUACGUUCUAUUGAUCAAACACCAUCUAUUCUACCUGAUUACAUUCUUAAGAGGAAUUGAAAAAAUGUUUCGGAUAGGAAAGUUUGUUGGAUGCAUGCAAGUUUAUUUGCCACAGAGCUUCCAUUAUGGAGCAGUCUUCUUUCAAUAUCUUAGGCCAUGCAAAAGGGACAUAGCAUGUUAAUACAAGUUGGACAAAAAGCAUGUGGUUCUCAUUAACGUGAUAUGUGAAUAAUGUGUGACUAAAACAAGUACAUCAAUGUAGUUCUGAGUUCUUUACAGUCAUAACCUGAAGUCUUUCGGGAUCAUCUCUGAUGCUCUAUAUCUUAAGUUAACUUAUACCACCGAGGUAGAUACAAAUAAAGCAAUGAAAUAACUUUUACAACAACCUUCUCAGAUUCAAGUUUGUACCCACUAAUCCUUUAAAUUAUGGUCUUUCUUUUUCUUGAUUACUCUCAAGUAUCUCACAAUCAUCUUAUCCAAGAAUUGUCGUAGGUAGUGACCAAAACCUAACUUUGGGCUGGCUUUACUGCUUUCAGAUUUUUAGCUCCCAUAUCAUUAACUGACAACACUAAUUUUGAUGAAUCACAAGGAAGCCAUUUGGACUUCAUGCUCUCGCUCUCAAAGAGACAAAGGUCCCAAUUCUCAAAUUCCAAAUAGUUGGGCACACCAGAAAACCCAAUUAUGUUUGCAUUGCCUCGUGGAUGUCAGGUGAACCCAAAUUCUAAAUAACUGCAAAUGAAUUUGAUUUGGGUAUGAGUUAAUUCAACAAUGAAUCAAUACAAUACAGUAGUAAAAUAUUUCAUUUAUGAAUGAAACUACAGGAUUUUCAUAACGUUUAAAAAUAAUAGUACGAUAGGAUCCAACCAACAUAAACAAGUGGCUAACCUGUUAUGAAUCUCUCACAAAAACGUGGAGCUCUUAUAAGUAUUUCAAGAUGUUUUCUCCAUCAGUUUAUUGGCGGCAGAAUGCUUGACUUUGCUCUGCCAUACACCCGUCCAUGACCUUUUCCUACAGUAUGAAAUGGACUUCUCCAAAUGGAACAUGAUGUCCAGCUCACACUACAUAUUAAGUAAUUAAACAAGAAACUGUAUCAACAUUCUUGGAAUUGCAAAACAAUGGGGACCCAAAUUUAAAAAAAAAAUCAACAAGCUCUGUAUUUUCAAGAUGAGUCUGAAAUUUAUUCAUCUAUAUCAUGAGAGAUCUUACCAAAAUUCCAAAUCCACAGUCCGCGGUUUCAAAUAACAAGUACAUGAAUUCCAAAAUUGCAAGCGCAUUGUGCAACAAGAAAGAAAUAAUGUUAAUCAAUCAUUUACUAUUAACCACUGUUGAUAAUCACCACCAAAAAGCAUACCAAAGUAAAAAUGAUAUCAUCACAACACACACACAGAAGAAACAUUUAUGCAGCAUGUUUCUGUACAAAUACAAAAUUAAGUGAGACCCAGAAAAUAAAGAUCAAAUCGUUAGAAACCCCAUCAAGCAAAAUCAUCAAAAACCACUCAUUGUCAAUGUCAGCCUUACAUGUCACACCACAGCAAGAUUUUGAUACUUAACGGUCGCGGCAUUGGCAAGAAUAUCGCAUCUUUGAACCCUAAUUGCAAUCUUGAAACUUCCAACGAUUGGCGUAGGCUAAGAUCUCUGACGCGCAUGUUAGCAACAAGGAAGCACAUUCACUACGGAGAUUGUGUGCCCGUCAUGAAAGUCACAGAGCAACCCCAGAAGCAUAUAAUUUUAUCUUGAUUUAGAUUUCAAGCAUCAGAAAAUGAAAGUCACUUCGCUUAUAAUUUUAUCUAGCGAAGUUCUUUUUUCUAAUUUUAAAAUAAAUUAUUGAUAAAACAGGUUUACUAAUUAAUACUUUCAAAUAAACAAAAAUAACGGUAAUAAUCUCAAUUACUUUCACCGCACGUGCGCGUUAAAACAACACCCGGAAAUUCAAAAUCCAACUACAACGGUAGGCAAACAUCACUCCGGUUAAUCAAGUUGAGGAUGCCACGACGCCGUUUUUCGCUGCCCUGUUUGCCAAUAGCGGUUAGUUGUUGGCGCUUAAAUUUUACACACCAAACUUCAACAAUUAAUUUUUCCAGAUAAACUUAAUUAUGACGUAACAUAAUAUCCAGUUUCCUCAAUACUAAAUUCAAAUUCGAGACAUCGCUAACGGCUAUAUAAUUCCUACGCGCCCAUCAGACAGCUAUAUAAGUGCCCCCAACAUAACAUACACCGCCUUAUCGCAACACUACUUGAUUAACAAGCAACUAGGAGAUUUUUCAAAUCCUACGUUUUUUUAGUUUCCAAAUCCUUCUCUCAUUCAUCAACCAAAUCCUACCCACCAAAAAUCUUCUCAAACCCAUCUGAUUCAAUCUCGAUUUCUGAUUUCGUCGAUCGCUUUUUGAUUCCCAAAGCACCAACACAAUGUCUCCUCACGUUGGAUUAAGAUUUUAUCCUGUAUUAAGAUUUUAUCCAACAGAACAAGAAUUGCUGGAGUUCUAUCUCCUUCACAAAAUUACCCAAAAUCAUAAUCUCUACCAAGCCAGCGAUGAUAUUCCAGUGAAGGAUUGUGAUCUCUAUAGCCCUCAUGAGCCAAACUUGAUUUGGGAUUUGUACGGAGGAGACCAAUUAAUGGCGGGUCAAGCACUCUACUUCUUCACCCAGUUAAAGAAAGCGUCUCCUAAGGGUUCGAGGUUCAACAUAAAGAUUGGCUUCGAUGCUUGGCAGGGUGAGGAUAGAGCCAAGCUUGUUCUCGCUGUUGGCUCUGAAGAUCAAAUUCUAGGGUUCAAGAAAAGGUUUAGGUAUGAAAGUCGUGAAAACUUGGAACAAAAUGGGAGGUGGAUUAUGCAUGAAUUCACCAUUAAUGCAGCCUUGUUCGGUGAUCAAUACUCACAUAAAGCACGCAAUUUUGUUCUCUACUGCGUCAAAAAGAACGAAUUAGAAAACCCCUCGGAGAAAGCCAAUUUGGGAGGAAAGAGAUCUUCUGGUUCCAAGAGAAAGUUGAAAGAAGUAGUGACCUCCAGCAGCCACAUUGAUCACGAUGAUGAGGGCUUUCAGAGCAAGCGCUUAAAGGCUCAUCAAAAUUCGGUUUUGAUAGAACAAAGCCACUCACCAUGCUCGAGUAGCAGUCUGCACACAGUGGAGCACCAAGGGGAGAUUGAUAACAUCUUGGAAAUUGUGGAAUCCGAAGUGGGGAUUGAUUCUUUACCUAAUAGACUUGUUUUUAAUGUGCAGGAGUUUUUGUUUGAUGUUAGAGUGCAAUUUAUACACUAGUUUUGCAUUGUUUACUUCCCUUAAUAUCGAUGUUUUGCACUUAAUAAUAGUGAUUUACUUGUGUUUAAUUUUUGUAGGCGCAAUUAUAUUGAUUGAUGUUAAAAUUGAGUUACAAGAUUAUGUUUGAGGAUGAUUGUUUUCUUGGAGAAAUUAUGAGCAUCAGAAGAACUUUAUUGAUAAGGCGUGGGCGCGUGUUGUCAACUACGGACCUGCAGUUUUUAAUUUAACGUGUUUUGUCUUUUUGGUUAUUUUUGUAAUUACGAAUUUAAUAUUUUAGAUAUUGGUAUUUUAUUUUAAAAAGAACUCUAGAGGAGAAGAGAUAGAAGAGUAUUUAAGGGAGGAAUCUAUUGUGAAAAAUGGGGAUUUUUUAGAGAGAAAAGAAAGAAACCCUAGAUCUAAACUUUUCUCUUCUCUCUAUGAAGAACUAAACCUAUUAUUCUGGUUGAAGGUUAAUGAAGCUUUGAUUCAUCACUACUGUGAGAUCUUUCUUAUGCUUUAAUUGUUUUGUUGCUUUUUGGGUGUUUGUUUAUUCUCUGAAUUAUUUUCAUGAUUAUGUUUGUUAAUUAGAUAACUGGCCACUAUUUAAUUAUCAACUUAAUCUCUUGUCAAUUAAAGGAUUCAUCGUAUGAAGAUUUUAAUGUUUGUGACAACUAACAUAGCAGUGAGUUGUGUUAUGAGAAUAAACAAUCUAAUUUAAAUGAACCAUCGUAUGCGUUUGUUGAUUAUGAUUUGGGUCUCUUUGGUUUUUUAGGCUGUCAAUUGAUUAAAUCCUAUAAUCGUAUCUAGGGUUGUCUAUUGAUUAGAGAAAUAACCAACGAUCGUACCUUGAUUAUCAACUAGUUAAGGAGAGAUUGGCUAUUAGAGGGUCUCAGUAGCUAUAACUGGUCUAUUUAUAAGUAGUAAUAAUUUAUAUUUGAAUCAAUGAUCAGUAGUCGAAUAAAGCUGAGUUAAUUCCUUCAACCAAAGCUUUCUCCAAUUUGAAUUACAACUUAAAUAGACUAUACAGUGGACAUCUGUACACGCAAUAGCAUUUUAUAAAAGGACUAACGAAUGAUGUUGAAGUUCAAGAAUUUUGUAAAAGUAAGGCAACACCAGUUUUAUUUUAUUUCUAUCAGGCCUUGUCAUCAUUUUGUGCAAUCACCAUUUUUCCACGGCAAGAUUACAUGGAUGUUGAUUGUAUGAUUUUCUUUAUCCAUGCUUUGCUUUGCAUUCUUGUGUGAAAACUUUAAUUGGCUUCAAUAAUUGAUGAGAUUAUACACAGUAGGGCAAAUUGGCAUGGAUUCCAGGAUUUUCGAUAUAACAAUAUAUCCUCAAAGCUAACGACAAUUACAAUGUCAUCCAAAUUCUUCCUUAUACUUGAAAAUAUAGCUUUGUUUUCUGUGAAAUUUUUUCAAUUGGAGUGUAGAAUUGCUGAUUCUAGCCACAUAAUAAUAAGGUGCAUAGAUGAGUAAAGAGAAACGCUUCUCACUUUUAAACAAAGCCUGGUGGAUGAAUAUGAGGUUCUGUCUUCGUGGGGAAGAGAUAAUGACAAAAGAGAUUGCUGUAAAUGGAGAGGAGUCCGCAGUAGCAAAUGUUAUGGCGCUUAAUCUUCAAACAAAGCCCGGUGGAUUCGCUCGGAGGAAGUUCUUGAAGAUUAGUCCUACUCUGCUUAAAUUGCAUGAUUUAAGACAUCUGGACCUUAGUAGCGAUGACUUCGGUUGAAGCCCAGUUUCCGAGUUCAUUGGUUCCUCUCAGCAAAUUGAGGUACCUCAAUCUUUCUUGUGGUACACCUUCAUAAAAAAUCCCUCUUCCAGUUCGGGGCCUUUCAGGAUUUGAAUAUUUUAACCUCGAAAUUCUAAUUUAUUUAGUGUGGGAAGCCUAGUGUGGCUUUCUCAUCUUUCUUCUUCAAGACAUCUUGACCUGAGUUGCAUUAAUCUCACUUAAUCUAGUGAUUGGUUUCAGGUAGUUUCCAAGCUCCUUUCCCUAGACACAUUAGUCCUACGCUCGUGUUAUCUUCCACCUGUCAAUCCUUCAUUUGUUUGGCUCUUCAAUUUGAGUACGUCUAUUGAGACCCUUGGUCUCUCUGACAACCAUCUCCUUUCUUCUUCACUAUACCCUUAGGAAUAUUCUUCAUCUUCACCUAGGCUAUAGCCAUUUACAAGGUUCAAUUCCACUGCUGUACCGUACAUCCGCCUUGGCCGUACAGCAGUUAAAUUUUUUUNNNNNNNNNNNNNNNNNNNNNNNNNNNNNNNNNNNNNNNNNNNNNNNNNNNNNNNNNNNNNNNNNNNNNNNNNNNNNNNNNNNNNNNNNNNNNNNNNNNNNNNNNNNNNNNNNNNNNNNNNNNNNNNNNNNNNNNNNNNNNNNNNNNNNNNNNNNNNNNNNNNNNNNNNNNNNNNNNNNNNNNNNNNNNNNNNNNNNNNNNNNNNNNNNNNNNNNNNNNNNNNNNNNNNNNNNNNNNNNNNNNNNNNNNNNNNNNNNNNNNNNNNNNNNNNNNNNUAAAUUAAAUAAAUCACAUGAAUAGAAACUAAAUAAAAAAUUAAGCAUUAAAAACAAGAAAUAUAUGUUUUGAUAUGAGCAAAAAAAUUAAUAAUAAUUUUUUUUGUAAUUAUUUAUUUUGUAAACAUUUUCUUAUAAUAAACAUUUUGUAAUAUUUUAAAAUUAAAUGUAAAACGUAUAGGCAAAAUAUUUUAUUAUUUAUCUUCUAAUAAAUUUUUAUUUGUCAUUCAAAUUUUAUUAUAAUAAUUUUUUUAUCAUUUUAUAAUAAUUUUCUUAUAUAUUUAUUAUAAGAAACUUUUCACAAAUUAAAUAAGUACAAGAAAAAAAAUUUAUUAUUAAUUUUUUUGCUCAUAUCAAAACAUAUAUUUCUUGUUUUUAAUGCUUAAUUUUUUAUUUAGUUUCUAUUCAUGUGAUUUAUUUAAUUUAUAAUAAAUAUAAAUAAAAGAGUAGUUGAAAAUAAGGGUAAUAUUGUAAACUUAUGCUAUCAGGGGGGUUUUUGGCCAUUAUAAAAACGACAUGAGAGAAAAUGGUAUAUGUUGAUUAUUGUAGGGGGAAAAUUGGCCUAACAGCAUAAGUUUACAAUAUUACCCUUAUUUUUAACUACUCUGAUCUUGGAGCAUUUUUAUCUCUAAAAGUAUUGUAUGGCGGAGAAAAUCAUUUAAAUGGAAUAUAAACAAAAGCCUCACUCACUUGUUCAAGCUUGAGACUUUGUCACUUGAUGGGAAUUCAUUCACAUGUGCUAUCUCUAAGACCGCAUGGUUUUAUUUCUGGGCACCUACACACUGCAAAAUAAAUCUUGCCAAUUAAGGUGUAGAUCACCCCUUAAAAAUCUAUCAUCUCUCAUGUGAUUUGCCGAUAUAGGAUUUGCCUAGGGUGUUACAAUUCAGGCGCCAUAAAUCAAAAUUUGGCAAUCGUGUGAAGUACUCUUAUGCGUAUUUUAACCUCUGAAACAAAAACUGGUGACAAGGAGGUAUUACAUGCAUUAUCAUUAAAUUAAUAUACACACUAAUCUCAAAGUAUGUGUUAUAUUAAUGUGGCUCACAUUCAUGAGUUUGAGAUGAAUUAAGACUACUCACAUUUUUAUGAUUAGAUCAUGAUAAGAAUAGUUGUUCCAUAUUUCUAAAAAAUUAAGAUAAGUAUAAUUUCUCAUUUUCUUGAUGGAGGAAAGUGAAUGAAGUCCAUUAAAUAGACUAAGGGUCCUUAGCCUAGCCUCUAUACGACUUCCCGUGAGAAUGCACUACUAAAAAAAUGACCUUUACUGACACUUAGUUUCUGACACUUUAUAAAAAGUAUCAGUAAUUAUGUACAUAUGCACCAUUUUCCGCUUUUAACAAACAAGUAUUAUAAAUUAUUGAUACUAACGUGUCAGUAAAUUAAAUAUUAAAAAUCACUAAUAAAAUUCUAACCAUAUUUUAAAUUAACUUAAAUAAUAAUGAUUGGAGGUAGAGGUAGGUAACUUAUUUAAGUUUAUAAUCUAUAAUAUAUUUCUAUGUAUAUUAUUAUUAUUAAGCUAACAGAAGGAUGAUGUGAUGCAUAUGUACGUACCUCUAGACAGCAAAUUCAGAGAAGCAUUAUGCAAAGUCAACAGUAAACCGUUCAAAGUCAGCGGACAAUUACGUUUGGUCCUUGCUUGGGAAUUUCUAAUUUCAAUGGCAACACAGUCUGUGGAAAAUUACUUUAAAUGAAGUAUGUACACAAAUGCACACCAAUUAAGAAUAUUACAAAAAUCAUUUAGAUGGUACACAUCAUACAUAAACACAGCUUCAGUUUCGGAAGGGGACCAUUAAUUGUUCAAAAUCGAUAUACAAACGUGGUCGCCCUAGCUAAGAAGAUAACAUGCACGAUAAGGAUAAACAAUUACCCCAAUCUUUCUUUUGUGGACAUGUGGAUAAAACAAAGACAGAUUCUGAAAGAGGGCGUAUCUAUAGAUGGCCAAUUCAGAACUUAUUUAAGAUUAUACGUUAAAUUUAUUUUUAAUUGAGAUAGAGCCUCUCAUGUUGGCGUUAAUAUGUAGACAAGUAUGAAUCUGAUGCAUAAUAGUACUUGAAAAUUACCUCAUAUGAUGCACAUUGUAUUAUUGAGUAUAUGCUUAAAGAAACUUGUAUGUGGUUCUCCUUAGACCAUCGUCGAUCUAUGCGCUCAUAUACUCUGGUUAGGUUUCAAUUAUACUAUUAAUCCAUUACAGCAAUAAAAGCAGUCAAAUUCUCAUAUAGUAUUGACCAAUGUUAGCUCUUUUUUUUUGUUUUCAUUGGGUGAAUAAAUAAUAAAAGACAAAACGAAUCUUUCUAAUUAGAGUAGUUGACCAUAAAACUACUAAAUGGAUGAUAAAAUUAAUUAAUUAAUUAAUUAAACUAGAAUAAUCUUAUUGACAAAGUAGGUGGUAGGUUCGUACGAUUCCGGAUCAUUGGUACUAAAAUGUGAAGGAAGAGAUCGACUUUUACAAUAAUUUGGUUUUACUGUAUUCGAACUGGUUAUUGAUUAAGGAGCUGGCUAAGUUACAGAUUCUGUAACUUACAGAUCCAUUGUAGCCAACACCUAUUGCCUGCAUUUGCACGGUUUUUCUCUCUCCUUAGGACACGUGUGCUGCUUCCCAUUGGGUGUGUACGUUACAGAUUCUGUAACGUAGAUUGGUCGAUUGAUUAAAGGGAAAAGGACAAACACACCCCCAACGUUUAGGCAAAGGGACAAAAACCCCCCUAACUUUUUAAAAAAGACAUUUACACUCCAAUUUAUUAUAAUUUUACCAUUAUACCCUUCUAGUAUAUAAAAAAAAUUAUUAGAUUAUCCAAUUUGUCUAUAUAUUGUUAAUAAAAUUAUAAAUAAACAAAUUAAAUAUUAUAAAAAAAUUAUAAAUAUACUCUCAUUGCCCAAUUCCUCUAUUUAAAUUUUUAUCAAUAACCAAUUUUCAAAAAAGACAUCUAUACAUCUAAAAAAAUACAGAGAGAGCUCUAUACUCUUCUACUAUAAGUUAUCUACAUUUAAAUUUCUUAGUUUUGAUUGCAGCUCAUCGAAUCUGUCUUUUGUCUGUCAUUUAGCAGAUACAGAGAGAGCUCUUGAUGAGUUUAACUUGUUUGCCCAGUGCACUCUUGAUUAACAUUGAACCAAAACUGAAUUGAAAGAAUUAAGAAAAAAGAAAUAAAUAAAUAGUUUGAAGAUAUGAAAAAUUGUUUCUUUUUCUUUGUCCUAUUUUGAUGACAUGAAGACUUAUAAACAUAGUUAGAGAAAUUGUUUUUUUUUUUUUUAAUAAUGAUUGAUCCUGCAAACGGAAUAAACUUCAAUAAAAAUAAUAGAGAUGUCGCCAAACAAUAUUUAGAGCGACAUAGUAAACAGAAGCAUAAAGCUAAAACACACAACAUAACUACAAAAAAUUAAAAUAAAUAAGCUGCAUCUGUAUAGAAUUUGUAACUUGGAAGUUCGUUAAUGUUUCAUUACUCGAUAGAAGAAGUAAAGCCAAACUAGUCAUCGAAAAAUUUUGGGUACUCCUGGAACAUUACUCCUUUUCCAUUUAUUGCUUGUCAUGUGUAUGAUUCAAUGAAUCAUGAUAAUAUAUAUAAAUACAUGGCAAGCAUUAAAUUAUUAAGGAGCAAUACUCUAGAAGCACCAAAAACCCAUCAUGUUAGAGCGCCAUUUGACUACGGAAAGGUACAUAGUAAUAAAUAAUAAAAGAAUAAAAUACCAUUUUCAGAGAAGACUAUUGACUUGAAUGAAGACUCUUUAAUAUCAUUGAAUAAUAAUACACAAGACAUUUCUAUCCUAAUUUUUAUCAAUUUUACGAACGUAUCAUCACAUACCAUCACAUACCAUCACAUUGCAUUGUAUUGCAUUACAUUAAUGACCCAGCUGACUCUAGCUAACGUGUUACUAACGCACAUUGCAUUGCAUUUUCACUGCCAUGCCCAAUUUCAGCAUUUCUCACCAUUACUCUCUGUUUAGGUAAGUUUGGUAGGAAUCUUCAAUACAAUGUAAAAGAAUCAAGGGAAGAAAUAAGAAACUAUAAAGGAAUAUUAAGUGGAAAAUUUAGUUUGUAAGAGCAUUUCAAUUCAGUUUAUGGGGGCAUAAGCUUAAAUGAUGGGUGUAAUUUUAAGAGUCUUUUCUCUUAAUCAACCAGCGUGAAUAAUAUUGCCAAAUUGUUAAUACUUAUAGUUUACCAAACAUGUGCCUGACUAAAUUUUGUCUAAUUGAUUAUUUCAAAGGAUGGAGCUAGUAUUAGGCAAGCGGGGGCAGUUGCUCUGGCUUGAUUAAAACAGCCGAUAAAUUGCAUUCAUUAUUUAAGUCUCUAUCCACGUGAACCUAAAAAUUCUAUCAAAAAAACUUCUAUUUGUUUAACGAUAAUUUAAAAAGACUACCAAGAAAUUUCUUUUCCAAAGGCAUAUUUACCUGAACGAAGACUUGUUGAGAAGGACAAAGUUUAGCUACUCCAAUGCAGAAUAUAAACCACAAGAGGCUAGACUUAACAAUAUAUCCUCAAUACCAAUGAUAAUUACAACAUCAUUUUCAGAGACCUUGUUAACUUACAUUAUAAGGUAACUUAACACCACCUCAUUUUCUGGGAAGACUAUUGACUUGAAUGAAGAAUCUGUUGUUGACUCAUGACAAAUCUCAAUCUUUCUUGUGCAUGCAUUACCACCUUAGUAAUUCAAUUUCAACCCUCUGAUUGUUUUGCCUACUGACAAGUUGCAGUAUUUUGAAUUACAAAUCUCCCGUCAUCACUUCCCCAUUCAGACAUUUGAUCGAACACCAAGCUGAAUUCUUCAAACACACUGCUAAUCUUAACUCUUAAAAUUUUCUGAUUGAAUUUAAAUGACAGUAAAUUUUUCAUUGUAGUUAAUUACAAGUUACUAAUUAAGAAUUUCUAUAUUAGUUAAUUGUAUGAAAAUAAUCGAUGAACUUAUCCUCCUCUGGAAUUAUGAAUCUAGAUUGUACUCUUAUAGGUAUUGGAAAUAAUCAAAAGCCACAGAGCAAGAAGAAAGUCAUUGAAGCCCUUGGAUUGGAUUGCUGCUAUUGCAUAUUAAGCUCCUGCUGCAGCAGCUAGUGCUAUUUUUUGAAUCUACUCAAUUGGUCAAGAAAGUUUUUUGGAUGCUUCUAAAAAUAUUUAUAUGUAUAGUACCUUUCACUUAAGAUUGUACUCCAAGCUGAGAACCAAGACACAGUUAAACAAAAAGGUUUUCUUUCUGCGUUAGUAUUUAUAAAUUCAAACCUUGACACACUAGACUAAAUCUCUAACUUUCAUACAAACUACAAAAGAUAAGUCCAUGCAAUUGCAUCACACAAUCCAAAAGUAUGUCAUCACAAAAACCUGUAGAGAAAUUGGGUUAUUAAUUUUCAACAGAGAGCGUCUGAAUUUUUGCAGUUUUUGUAGCAUCGAGAUCAGAACCAAACUAGAUAACAAAUAUGCAAUAGGCAAGUGGUGAAGAAAUAGAGCGAAGACACCAAGAAAAGGCAAGUUUAAGUUGCAGACGCUCAACUGUAAAAUAACAGAGAUAUUGCAGGUUCAUAUAAUAGGAAAGAUGACACAGAAGAAGCAUGGACAAUCUCACACCUCUUUUGAAAGCCAAAACUCCAGCAUUGGCUUACAGCCACACUCAGUCUCGUCCUGAAAUCAGACUCAAUUUUGAUGACAUGAAGCCUUAUAAACAUAGUUAGAGAAGAUUAUACUUUGUUCAUAUUGAAAAAUGGUUAACUCUUCCAUUUCUUGUCCACAUAAACCUUAAAGGCAGACACAAGGUCGCUUCUAGAACCUUUGACAGGGCCACUAAACUAAGAUGAUUCAAAACAAAAAUAUCAUAUUCACAAAAAUAAGAUAUACAGGAACAGGGAACUCUUACGUUCUAUUGAUCAAACACCAUCUAUUCUACCUGAUUACAUUCUUAAGAGGAAUUGAAAAAAUGUUUCGGAUAGGAAAGUUUGUUGGAUGCAUGCAAGUUUAUUUGCCACAGAGCUUCCAUUAUGGAGCAGUCUUCUUUCAAUAUCUUAGGCCAUGCAAAAGGGACAUAACAUGUUAAUACAAGUUGGACAAAAAGCAUGUGGUUCUCAUUAACGUGAUAUGUGAAUAAUGUGUGACUAAAACAAGUACAUCAAUGUAGUUCUGAGUUCUUUACAGUCAUAACCUGAAGUCUUUCGGGAUCAUCUCCGAUACUCUAUAUCUUAAGUUGACCAUUUUCUGUAUCAUUUUACAAUUAUACAACAAAGAUUAUCAGUCACUCCUUAUACCACCGAGGUAGAUACAAAUAAAGCAAUGAAAUAACUUUUACAACAACCUUCUCAGAUUCAAGUUUGUACCCACUAAUCCUUUAAAUUAUGGUCUUUCUUUUUCUUGAUUACUCUACUUAUCUCACAAUCAUCUUAUCCAAGAAUUGUCGUAGGUAGUGACCAAAACCUAACUUUGGGCUGGCUUUACUGCUUUCAGAUUUUUAGCUCCCAUAUCAUUAACUGACAACACUAAUUUUGAUGAAUCACAAGGAAGCCAUUUGGACUUCAUUCUCUCGCUCUCAAAGAGACAAAGGUCCCAAUUCUCAAAUUCCAAAUAGUUUGGCACACCAGAAAACCCAAUUAUGUUUGCAUUGCCUCGUGGAUGUCAGGUGAACCCAAAUUCUAAAUAACUGCAAUGAAUUUGAUUUGGGUAUGAGUUAAUUCAACAAUGAAUCAAUACAAUACAGUAGUAAAAUAUUUCAUUUAUGAAUGAAACUACAGGAUUUUCAUAACGUUUAAAAAUAAUAGUACGAUAGGAUCCAACCAACAUAAACAAGUGGCUAACCUGUUAUGAAUCUCUCACAAAAACGUGGAGCUCUUAUAAGUAUUUCAAGAUGUUUUCUCCAUCAGUUUAUUGGCGGCAGAAUGCUUGACUUUGCUCUGCCAUACACCCGUCCAUGACCUUUUCCUACAGUAUGAAAUGGACUUCUCCAAAUGGAACAUGAUGUCCGGCUCACACUACAUAUUAAGUAAUUAAACAAGAAACUGUAUCAACUUUCUUGGAAUUGCAAAACAAUGGGGACCCAAAUUUUAAAAAAAAUCAACAAGCUCUGUAUUUUCAAGAUGAGUCUGAAAUUUAUUCAUCUAUAUCAUGAGAGAUCUUACCAAAAUUCCAAAUCCACAGUCCGCGGUUUCAAAUAACAAGUACAUGAAUUCCAAAAUUGCAAGCGCAUUGUGCAACAAGAAAGAAAUAAUGUUAAUCAAUCAUUUACUAUUAACCACUGUUGAUAAUCACCACCAAAAAGCAUACCAAAGUAAAAAUGAUAUCAUCACAACACACACACAGAAGAAACAUUUAUGCAGCAUGUUUCUGUACAAAUACAAAAUUAAGUGAGACCCAGAAAAUAAAGAUCAAAUCGUUAGAAACCCCAUCAAGCAAAAUCAUCAAAAACCACUCAUUGUCAAUGUCAGCCUUACAUGUCACACCACAGCAAGAUUUUGAUACUUAACGGCCGCGGCAUUGGCAAGAAUAUCGCAUCUUUGAACCCUAAUUACAAUCUUGAAACUUCCAACGAUUGGCGUAGGCUAAGAUCUCUGACGCGCAUGUUAGCAACAAGGAAGCACAUUCACUACGGAGAUUGUGUGCCCGUCAUGAAAGUCACAGAGCAACCCCAGAAGCAUAUAAUUUUAUCUUGAUUUAGAUUUCAAGCAUCAGAAAAUGAAAGUCACUUCGCUUAUAAUUUUAUCUAGCGAAGUUCUUUUUUCUAAUUUUAAAAUAAAUUAUUGAUAAAACAGGUUUACUAAUUAAUACUUUCAAAUAAACAAAAAUAACGGUAAUAAUCUCAAUUACUUUCACCGCACGUGCGCGUUAAAACAACACCCGGAAAUUCAAAAUCCAACUACAACGGUAGGCAAACAUCACUCCGGUUAAUCAAGUUGAGGAUGCCACGACGCCGUUUUUUGCUGCCCUGUUUGCCAAUAGCGGUUAGUUGUUGGCGCUUAAAUUUUACACACCAAACUUCAACAGUUAAUUUUUCCAGAUAAACUUAAUUAUGACGUAACAUAAUAUCCAGUUUCCUCAAUACUAAAUUCAAAUUCGAGACAUCGCUAACGGCUAUAUAAUUCCUACGCGCCCAUCAGACAGCUAUAUAAGUGCCCCCAACAUAACAUACACCGCCUUAUCGCAACACUACUUGAUUAACAAGCAACUAGGAGAUUUUUCAAAUCCUACGUUUUUUUAGUUUCCAAAUCCUUCUCUCAUUCAUCAACCAAAUCCUACCCACCAAAAAUCUUCUCAAACCCAUCUGAUUCAAUCUCGAUUUCUGAUUUCGUCGAUCGCUUUUUGAUUCCCAAAGCACCAACACAAUGUCUCCUCACGUUGGAUUAAGAUUUUAUCCUGUAUUAAGAUUUUAUCCAACAGAACAAGAAUUGCUGGAGUUCUAUCUCCUUCACAAAAUUACCCAAAAUCAUAAUCUCUACCAAGCCAGCGAUGAUAUUCCAGUGAAGGAUUGUGAUCUCUAUAGCCCUCAUGAGCCAAACUUGAUUUGGGAUUGUACGGAGGAGACCAAUUAAUGGCGGGUCAAGCACUCUACUUCUUCACCCAGUUAAAGAAAGCGUCUCCUAAGGGUUCGAGGUUCAACAUAAAGAUUGGCUUCGAUGCUUGGCAGGGUGAGGAUAGAGCCAAGCUUGUUCUCGCUGUUGGCUCUGAAGAUCAAAUUCUAGGGUUCAAGAAAAGGUUUAGGUAUGAAAGUCGUGAAAACUUGGAACAAAAUGGGAGGUGGAUUAUGCAUGAAUUCACCAUUAAUGCAGCCUUGUUCGGUGAUCAAUACUCACAUAAAGCACGCAAUUUUGUUCUCUGCUGCGUCAAAAAGAACGAAUUAGAAAACCCCUCGGAGAAAGCCAAUUUGGGCGGAAAGAGAUCUUCUGGUUCCAAGAGAAAGUUGAAAGAAGUAGUGACCUCCAGCAGCCACAUUGAUCACGAUGAUGAUGCUGCCCUGUUUGCCAAUAGCGGUUAGUUGUUGGCGCUUAAAUUUUACACACCAAACUUCAACAGUUAAUUUUUCCAGAUAAACUUAAUUAUGACGUAACAUAAUAUCUAGUUUCCUCAAUACUAAAUUCAAAUUCGAGACAUCGCUAACGGCUAUAUAAUUCCUACGCGCCCAUCAGACAGCUAUAUAAGUGCCCCCAACAUAACAUACACCGCCUUAUCGCAACACUACUUGAUUAACAAGCAACUAGGAGAUUUUUCAAAUCCUACGUUUUUUUAGUUUCCAAAUCCUUCUCUCAUUCAUCAACCAAAUCCUACCCACCAAAAAUCUUCUCAAACCCAUCUGAUUCAAUCUCGAUUUCUGAUUUCGUCGAUCGCUUUUUGAUUCCCAAAGCACCAACACAAUGUCUCCUCACGUUGGAUUAAGAUUUUAUCCUGUAUUAAGAUUUUAUCCAACAGAACAAGAAUUGCUGGAGUUCUAUCUCCUUCACAAAAUUACCCAAAAUCAUAAUCUCUACCAAGCCAGCGAUGAUAUUCCAGUGAAGGAUUGUGAUCUCUAUAGCCCUCAUGAGCCAAACUUGAUUUGGGAUUUGUACGGAGGAGACCAAUUAAUGGCGGGUCAAGCACUCUACUUCUUCACCCAGUUAAAGAAAGCGUCUCCUAAGGGUUCGAGGUUCAACAUAAAGAUUGGCUUCGAUGCUUGGCAGGGUGAGGAUAGAGCCAAGCUUGUUCUCGCUGUUGGCUCUGAAGAUCAAAUUCUAGGGUUCAAGAAAAGGUUUAGGUAUGAAAGUCGUGAAAACUUGGAACAGAAUGGGAGGUGGAUUAUGCAUGAAUUCACCAUUAAUGCAGCCUUGUUCGGUGAUCAAUACUCACAUAAAGCACGCAAUUUUGUUCUCUACUGCGUCAAAAAGAACGAAUUAGAAAACCCCUCGGAGAAAGCCAAUUUGGGAGGAAAGAGAUCUUCUGGUUCCAAGAGAAAGUUGAAAGAAGUAGUGACCUCCAGCAGCCACAUUGAUCACGAUGAUGAGGACUUUCAGAGCAAGCGCUUAAAGGCUCAUCAAAAUUUGGUUUUGAUAGAACAAAGCCACUCACCAUGCUCGAGUAGCAGUCUGCACACAGUGGAGCACCAAGGGGAGAUUGAUAACAUCUUGGAAAUUGUGGAAUCCGAAGUGGGGAUUGAUUCUUUACCUAACAAACUUGUUUUUAAUGUGCAGGAGUUUUUGUCUGAUGUUAGAGUGCAAUUAUGCACUAGUUUUGCAUUGUUUACUUCCCAUAAUAUCGAUGUUUUGCACUUAAUAAUAGUGAUUUACUUGUGUUUAAUUUUUGUAGGUGCAAUUCUAUUGAUUGAUGCUAAAAUUGAGUUACAAGAUUAUGUUUGAGGAUGAUUGCUUUCUUGGAGAAAUUAUGAGCGUCAGAAGAACUUUAUUGAUAAGGCGUGGGCGCGUGUUGUCAACUACGAACCUGCAGUUUUUAAUUUAACGUGUUUUGUCUUUUUGGUUAUUUUUGUAAUUACAAGUUUAAUAUUUUAGAUAUUGGUAUUUUAUUUUAAAAAGAACUCUAGAGGAGAAGAGACAGAAGUGUAUUUAAGGGAGGAAUCUAUUGUGAAAAAUGGGGAUUUUUUAGAGAGAAAAGAAAGAAACCCUAGAUCUAAACUUUUCUCUUCUCUUUAUGAAGAACUAAACCUAUUAUUCUGGUUGAAGGUUAAUGAAGCUUUGAUUCAUCACUACUGUGAGAUCUUUCUUAUGCUUUAAUUGUUUUGUUGCUUUUUGGGUAUUUGUUUAUUCUCUGAAUUAUUUUCAUGAUUAUGUUUGUUAAUUAGAUAACUGGCCACUAUUUAAUUAUCAACUUAAUCUCUUGUCAAUUAAAGGAUUCAUCGUAUGAAGAUUUUAAUGUUUGUGACAACUAACAUAGUAGUGAGUUGUGUUAUGAGAAUAAACAAUCUAAUUUAAAUGAACCAUCGUAUGCGUUUGUUGAUUAGGAUUUGGGUCUCUUUGGUUUUUUAGGCUGUCAAUUGAUUAAAUCUUAUGAUCGUAUCUAGGGUUGUCUAUUGAUUAGAGAAAUAACCAACGAUCGUACCUUGAUUAUCAACUAGUUAAGGAGAGAUUGGCUAUUAGAGGGUCUCAGUAGCUAUAACCGGUCUAUUCAUAAGUAGUAAUAAUUUAUAUUUGAAUCAAUGAUCAGUAGUCGAAUAAAGCUGAGUUAAUUCCUUCAACCAAAGCUUUCUCCAAUUUGAAUUACAACUUAAAUAGACUAUACAGUGGACAUCUGUACACGCAAUAGCAUUUUAUAAAAGGACUAACGAAUGAUGUUGACAACCAUCAUCUGAACUCAAUCAAAUUGCUGAACCUAGGGAUGAAGAAAGAGGAGAUGGGGCUGCUGCCGGUAGGGUUUCUAUCGAGGGUCAAUCAAGUACUUAAUCGAGUAAUGUAAUUGCAAGCAAUGCACUAUAGAGGAGUGGGAAAUUCUGAUCUCACUCUUGCUCUCAGCUUUGUCAUCUAAUUUUAUGAAAGCAAUACUUAGAUUGCUUGCCUAUGUUAUAUAAACAGCUUGUUUCUUUUUCAAUUAUAAUAUAAUCACGUCAUAUUCCAUUUUUGAAAUGAAGUUAUGGCUCUAAUUACAAGAUUUGUUUAAUGAAUUGAUAUUCCAUGAGUUUUAUGCUUCGCACAUAUAUCUCAAUUGAUUAGUUUCAAAAGCAGGGGUAUAUGAAUGUAUAAUUGUGAUUAUAAUAUGAUUUUGAUGAUUUUCCAGGACAGGAGAAGAUUCUGGUUGGAUGACCAAAAAAUUAUUCAAUUGAUCACUUGGCCAUGAUUUUUUUGAGUUGUUGUAACAUAAAUAAAUUUUGAAACUAAAGAAGAUUAAUCCAAAUAUCAGUUGAAUAUGAAGAAUCUUCAUCAAAACCGUGAGUUACUAAAUCCAAUUGUUAUUUCAUCGAAGAAGGUAACAUAAAUUACAAAAAGUGAAACAGACCUCAAGCUAAGAGAAAAAAAGCAAUGGUAGAAUAAAAGUCAGCACCUGAAUGCAUAUGAAAAAUUCACUAACACCACUAGGAAAGCAGUUGUCCAAGUGAAGCCAUCUAAAGUCUCCAGUAGCUCAUCAAAUCAUGAAAGUUGCUUUGUGUAUCACACUCUGCCAGCAUGGCACAAUGUUUUGCCAGCUCAGCAGUUCACUCAGUCAUCAGCAUAUAAGCUCAUCUCCUCUCUAAAAUUCAAUUAGAUGCUCUCAGUGAGGAAUUGCUAGCGGCCAAUCCUGAGGCUAGAUGUUGGUCCUGAAUGAACAGGUGCAGGUGCUAGAGGGUACUCGCGAGUAAGCAUCUCAAUUAGAAGAAUCGGCAGUGGGGAUUUACUCUUUUAAGUACAUGAAAAUCUUGUUCCGGUUAUCAUUUGGAAGAGCACACUACAAUCCAACAAUCAAUGAGUAUUCCGUUUCUUGUUUGGUAAAAGUUCAUAUUCAAUCAUUCAUCAGCUGCAUCAAUAAUCUUUCCUCCUUUUUAGAGCUUCCAAAGCCACUGCACCAAAACUAAGAUAAAACUCGACAUGUUUAUCCUUUCUUUUCCCACUGGAGAUUAAAACUGAAAAAAAAAAGAGAGAAAAAAAUUCUUCAGGAUGGUAACCAAGAAAGUUUAAAAAUGAAAUAAGAAAGAUUCUUUAGGAUAUCCUUCCCAAGAAGCUACCAAAAAAAAAGGGAACAUAACCAUUAAUUAGAUAAUAUGAACUAAACAUACCCAUCACAAGUUGCCUUCCGUAUUUUUUGGCCAUAUGUAACUGAGAGAGGUUAGAUUUUAUAAGAAGUGCUUAAGCUUUGCUGAAGGACUAAUAAAAAGCAAAACCAUUGCAAAAGUGAGGGACACAUGCAGCCCAAAUAUGGAAUCAUCGGGAACGAAAGUUUUUAUCAGUAAAUCGCAGUAAUUAAUUCAAGGACACAAAAUAAUACAAUAAUAACAAAUCAAUAAUUACAAAAUAUAAAAAAUAAAAUAAAUAUAAAAAAGAGACUUUUUUUUUUUUUUGUUUCAUAUUAGAAUCAAUAACAUAGUAGCAUUUUGUCCAUCAGUUGUAAAUAUUCUUGCAUCAAACAAUUCGACUGUCAAAUUCAUGUUAGAUCCUGUGACAUGAUGAUUCAAAAUCAGUCAAGACCGUUACAAGGAGAGAUGACAUGGCACUGAUGAGCUGGCAAGUGGGGUCCAGUUAGCUAUAAGUUUGUAAGUUUGUACGUUUGUUAGUUUGUCGGUUAAAUUGCAGGCUGCUAUAAAUAAAGCUGAGGGGGCUGAUUAUUUACUAAAUUUGUUCCUUUGUUUCUGAGAGAUUAGAGAGAGUUGGAAUGUGUUCUUCAGCUCUUUCUCCUCCUUGUAGUCCCCACUAUAAAUAUAACACAAGAUUUUCCAUUAAUAUGAUCUCUGCUGGCCAUUUACAGCCGUGGAUGUUGGCUUAAUAGUUUAAACACGUAAUCCUCUGCGUCCUCUGUUUUGAUUUCUUUAUUGUUCCUUUUUCAGUCUUGCAAUUAGUUCUUUGCUGUGAUUGUCAUCAAUUCUUGAUUCAGUGUUUUAGUUUGCUCUAGUUCUUGGUCAGAUUUAAUUGUGUUUUGAGUGCUUGAUAUUCUUGGUUUGGUUAAGUUUGGAUUCCUGUCAAUACAAACGGGUAUGAAAGCUGAGGUUUUUUGUUUGUUGGGAGAUCAAUGGCAUUACCAAAGCUUGAGUUUUAGGAGUUUAAUGGCAACAACGAUUUCAACUUGUGGAAGAUUAAAAUGAGGGCUCUCUGGGUCUAUCCCAGUUUUGAAUUUGUCUUGAAUUCCAAAGGCAAAAGGCCAUCCAAGAUGACAGAAGAACUUGAAGACUGUAAAGACAAAGCACACAGCAUCAUUGUGCUGAGUCUUGGAUAUGAGGUUUUGAGAUAGAUUUCACAAGAACUGAAAGAAACAUCUGCAGCAGCUCUGUGGCAGAAAUUAGAGAAUCUGUAAUGGACCAGAUCAAUUAAGUCAUUAAGUGAAUUAAUUAAGUCACUUUUUUUUCUUAAAUUUUUUUUGCUUAAUCUAAAAGGAUUGCAGACAUUCCCUAAAGUAUCUCCAUCUAAUUAAUCUAUUUUCAUUCUUACCCAAAUAAAAUUGAUUAAUUAGCUUUCUUGUUCAUCUCCAUAUCUGAUGAUAAUAGAGUAUUAGAUUAUUAUUAUCUGUCUCUUUUAAUUUUCUCCAAAUUAGCAUUAAUUAUCUCUACAAUUUUUAUGAAUGUUUUUCAUGCAAUACAUCAUAAACUGAAAUAACAUUGAUUAACAUGUUCUAAUUCAACAAAUAAAGGAUUUUAUCCACUUCAACAUUAUUUACAUUAUGAUAAAAAUAUUAUCUUAUUCAUGUUUAUUGAGACUUAUUUAACUUUUAAAAUUUGUAAAGGUACAAAUUUAAAAGCACUGGCUUUCAGAUUUUUUUGGUUGAAAAAAAUAUAUAAUUUAUUACAGACAAAGAAAUAAACAUGUUAUUUAGUUUCAAAUAUUUAGCUUUAUUUAUAAUUUAGGUUAAUUCAGGCCUAUUCAAAUUUUAGGAGCGAAAAAAAAGAAGAAGCAAACUCCAAAGUUAUUGAGGAUACAGAGAUUGAGUCAGAUUUAUUAAAUUAAAUUUCGUUGGUACAUGAUUCAAAAUUUAUUUCGUGACAUUAAAUUACACUCACCAUUGCAUCACUAAAACGCAUAAUCUAUCUAAAUUCCAUUAGAAAUUUUUUUUUUUUUUCAAAAGCCUAUUGACCUGAGCGAAAACUUGUUGAGAAGGAUACAUGAUUUUGGCUACUUCAGUGCAGAAUAUAAAUCAAGAGGCAAACACAAGCAUAAAAUUAUUUAGAUAGACUAUACGGUAGACAUCUGUACACGCAACAGAAUUUUAUAAAAGGACUAACGAAUGAUGUUGAAGUUCAAGAAUUUUGUAAAAGUAAGGCAACACCAGUUUUAUUUUAUUUCUAUCAGGCUCUGUCAUCAUUUUGUGCGUUCACCAUUUUUCCACGGCAAGAUUACAUGGAUGUUGAUUGUAUGAUUUUCUUUAUCCAUGCUUUGCUUUGCAUUCUUGUGUGAAAACUUUAAUUGGCUUCAAUAAUUGAUGAGAUUAUACACAGUAGGGCAAAUUGGCAUGGAUUCCAGGAUUUUCGAUAUAACAAUAUAUCCUCAAAGCUAAUGACAAUUACAAUGUCAUCCAAAUUCUUCCUUAUACUUGAAAAUAUGGCUUUGUUUUCUGUGAAAUUUUUUCAAUUGGAGUGUAGAAUUGCUGAUUCUAGCCACAUAAUAAUAAGGUGCAUAGAUGAGUAAAGAGAAACGCUUCUCACUUUUAAACAAAGCCUGGUGGAUGAAUAUGAGGUUCUGUCUUCGUGGGGAAGAGAUAAUGACAAAAGAGAUUGCUGUAAAUGGAGAGGAGUCCGCAGUAGCAAAUGUUAUGGCGCUUAAUCUUCAAACAAAGCCCGGUGGAUUCGCUCGGAGGAAGUUCUUGAAGAUUAGUCCUACUCUGCUUAAAUUGCAUUAUUUAAGACAUCUGGACCUUAGUAGCGAUGACUUCGGUUGAAGCCCAGUUUCCGAGUUCAUUGGUUCCUCUCAGCAAAUUGAGGUACCUCAAUCUUUCUUGUGGUACACCUUCAUAAAAAAUCCCUCUUCCAUUUCGGGGCCUUUCAGGAUUUGAAUAUUUUAACCUCGAAAUUCUAAUUUAUUUAGUGUGGGAAGCCUAGUGUGGCUUUCUCAUCUUUCUUCUUCAAGACAUCUUGACCUGAGUUGCAUUAAUCUCACUUAAUCUAGUGAUUGGUUUCAGGUAGUUUCCAAGCUCCUUUCCCUAGACACAUUAGUCCUACGCUCGUGUUAUCUUCCACCUGUCAAUCCUUCAUUUGUUUGGCUCUUCAAUUUGAGUACGUCUAUUGAGACCCUUGGUCUCUCUGACAACCAUCUCCUUUCUUCUUCACUAUACCCUUAGGAAUAUUCUUCAUCUUCACCUAGGCUAUAGCCAUUUACAAGGUUCAAUUCCACUGCUGUACCGUACAUCCGCCUUGGCCGUACAGCAGUUAAAUUUUUUUGAAACUAAAUAAAAAAUUAAGCAUUAAAAACAAGAAAUAUAUGUUUUGAUAUGAGCAAAAAAAUUAAUAAUAAUUUUUUUUGUAAUUAUUUAUUUUGUAAACAUUUUCUUAUAAUAAACAUUUUGUAAUAUUUUAAAAUUAAAUGUAAAACGUAUAGGCAAAAUAUUUUAUUAUUUAUCUUCUAAUAAAUUUUUAUUUGUCAUUCAAAUUUUAUUAUAAUAAUUUUUUUAUCAUUUUAUAAUAAUUUUCUUAUAUAUUUAUUAUAAGAAACUUUUCACAAAUUAAAUAAGUACAAGAAAAAAAUUUUAUUAUUAAUUUUUUUGCUCAUAUCAAAACAUAUAUUUCUUGUUUUUAAUGCUUAAUUUUUUAUUUAGUUUCUAUUCAUGUGAUUUAUUUAAUUUAUAAUAAAUAUAAAUAAAAGAGUAGUUGAAAAUAAGGGUAAUAUUGUAAACUUAUGCUAUCAGGGGGGUUUUUGGCCAUUAUAAAAACAACAUGGGAGAAAAUGGUAUAUGUUGAUUAUUGUAGGGGGAAAAUUGGCAAUCUCCCUUUAGAAUACAAUGACAUCUCAGGGCCAAUACAUGAUCUUGGAGCAUUUUUAUCUCUAAAAGUAUUGUAUGGCAGAGAAAAUCGUUUAAAUGGAAUAUAAACAAAAGCGUCACUCACUUGUUCAAGCUUGAGACUUUGUCACUUGAUGGGAAUUCAUUCACAUGUGCUAUCUCUAAGACUGCAUGGUUUUAUUUCUGGGGCGCCUACACACUGCAAAACAAAUCUUGCCAAUUAAGGUGUAGAUCACCCCUUAAAAAUCUAGCAUCUCUCAUGUGAUUUGCCGAUAUGGGAUUUGCCUAGGGUGUUACAAUUCAGGCGCCAUAAAUCAAAAUUUGGCAAUCGUGUGAAGUACUCUUAUGCGUAUUUUAACCUCUGAAACAAAAACUGGUGACAAGGAGGUAUUACAUGCAUUAUCAUUAAAUUAAUAUACACACUAAUCUCAAAGUAUGUGUUAUAUUAAUGUGGCUCACAUUCAUGAGUUUGAGAUGAAUUAAGACUACUCACAUUUUUAUGAUUAGAUCAUGAUAAGAAUAGUUGUUCCAUAUUUCUAAAAAAUUAAGAUAAGUAUAAUUUCUCAUUUUCUUGAUGGAGGAAAGUGAAUGAAGUCCAUUAAAUAGACUAAGGGUCCUUAGCCUAGCCUCUAUACGACUUCCCGUGAGAAUGCACUACUAAAAAAAUGACCUUUACUGACACUUAGUUUCUGACACUUUAUAAAAAGUAUCAGUAAUUAUGUACAUAUGCACCAUUUUCCGCUUUUAACAAACAAGUAUUAUAAAUUAUUGAUACUAACGUGUCAGUAAAUUAAAUAUUAAAAAUCACUAAUACUAAAGUAUCAAAAGUUUAAAAAAAAUAAUUAGAAUUGGUAAAACUUUGAACUCGAACCUAAGACUUCUAAAAUCUAAAAUACUUAUGUUUGUUCCGCAAACCAGCAGACCGAUAGAAUUAAGACCCAAAUAUUAUAUUAAAAGAUUAAAGAACAAAAAUUAAAAAACAAAAUCCCCAAUCGAUCUCUUACCCUCAUUUCGUCUAAGUGAAUAAAACUUACAAAUGAAAACUUACAAAUGAAAACUUACAAAAUCCCUAAAUCUACCACGCCGCCGACGCAGCCAAAACCUCUCCUAUCACUGCCGUCACUCGACUACCCACUGCCGUUGACUCCCAUGCACCAAAGUCUGGUCUCUUUUGCUAUCAUCAUCUCCUGUGCACCAAAGUUCAAAAUCCCCUGUCGUGAAAGUUCAAAAUCUCCUGUCGUGAUUUAUGAUUUUGUGUCGUCGCCUGUAAUAAAUCCACUGUCGUCAUCACCCUAAGGUCGUAACAGCUUCCACCCAUCAUCAAUACUCAGCGAUUCAUCAUCGGUAUAAUUUCUUAGCCUCUAUGGUCGCUGUUGUACUACCUCAAUCUCCGCCGUCGCUUCCGUACUGCCUCAAUCUCUAUUCAAGGUAAGCUCAAUCUUAUGACUGCCUCAAUCUCUACCUUUUUUAAUUUAUUUCUUUCAUUGGUCUUCUUUCUGUGCUCUCNNNNNNNNNNNNNNNNNNNNNNNNNNNNNNNNNNNNNNNNNNNNNNNNNNNNNNNNNNNNNNNNNNNNNNNNNNNNNNNNNNNNNNNNNNNNNNNNNNNNNNNNNNNNNNNNNNNNNNNNNNNNNNNNNNNNNNNNNNNNNNNNNNNNNNNNNNNNNNNNNNNNNNNNNNNNNNNNNNNNNNNNNNNNNNNNNNNNNNNNNNNNNNNNNNNNNNNNNNNNNNNNNNNNNNNNNNNNNNNNNNNNNNNNNNNNNNNNNNNNNNNNNNNNNNNNNNNNNNNNNNNNNNNNNNNNNNNNNNNNNNNNNNNNNNNNNNNNNNNNNNNNNNNNNNNNNNNNNNNNNNNNNNNNNNNNNNNNNNNNNNNNNNNNNNNNNNNNNNNNNNNNNNNNNNNNNNNNNNNNNNNNNNNNNNNNNNNNNNNNNNNNNNNNNNNNNNNNNNNNNNNNNNNNNNNNNNNNNNNNNNNNNNNNNNNNNNNNNNNNNNNNNNNNNNNNNNNNNNNNNNNNNNNNNNNNNNNNNNNNNNNNNNNNNNNNNNNUUUUCUAUUUGGUUCUUCCCAAGUUGAAAUGAAAACGAACAGUAGAAUAACAUGGUCUUGAUUGGGGUGAGCAUUUGACUCGGUUCAAUCCAAACUAAAUCUAAUUGAGUUGUAUUAUGGCAGUUCGGUUCAAUUCGAUCGGGCAAUAAAAAUCAAAUGAUUCAUGUGAUUUAUUUAAUCUAUAAUAAAUAUGAAUAAAAGUGUAUUUGAAAAUAAGGGUAACAUUAUAAACUUAUGCUAUUAGGGGAAUUAUUAGAGAUUACAAAAAUGGUAAGAGAUAAUAUUAAUAGGAAAAUUGGCAAUCUACCUUGGGAAAAAUGAAGAGAAGAAUUCUUCUUGCUGCAUUUCUAUUGUCAGCAUUUGGUUUUGCUAUGAGUAUGUAUACUUAUAUCAUGGGAAGAACUAGAAACGCAACUAGAGUACAUAGGCAGAUGCAGUUAGGACUGUGGAAAUUUCUUUCUCUGUGGUUCAGUUGUUGUAAUGCUUGCUAAUUUUAUUCUGGCAGAAUUGGGUGUCAAAAAUAGCUUUGAUACAUAUGUUUUCUCACUAGUCUUUACUAUAAUUGUUGCUGCAUUUAAUAUUAUAUAUGCUGGGGGAGUUUCCAAUUCAUCAGGCCUUGCCUCUCCUAUUGCCCCAGCUGCUGAUCACCAACUGUGAAAUUCCCAGAUAUGAUUAUGAAUAUAAUUGUAAAUAUCAAGCUGCACUGGAGGAAUUUAUGUAAGCAACUCAUCACCUCUAUGAGCUCCUACAAAUUUAAAGAAACUUGUGUUAGAAUAUAUUACGGCACGGCAAUUAUGCUCGAGUCUAGGGAUUAUAUUAUCUUAGGGAUUAAUUUGUUGACCCUUGGCUAAUUCUAGCCAUAUGCUGCUUGAUCCUAGGCUACUACGUGAAUCAAGGUAUUCAUUUAAUGUAGGGGCUCACCAACUAUAUAACCCCUCUUUUGUACAUUCUUUUAUAUGUUGAAAUACAACUUUGCAUCAAUUGUCUCUCUUUUACUUUUUAGUUUGCUUUCUUUUUGUCUUAUUACAAGUUGCAUGAGUCGACAAACUUUUGAAGUGUUGUGGAAGAAGGAAAUAUAAAAAUUGUGAGAUUCCAUUAACUUAAAUGCAUUUGUAAAUUAGUAAUUCAGUUGUUAAAUGACUUUAAAAGAUUUAUUUUAUAAUUUAUAUUUAUAAUGCUAGAGUGCCUCUAUUUGAUUUAGAAAUCUUUUAUGUAAUUAACGAUUGUUUUUGUAGUACUAUGGCUACAUCAGAGCUGAUAUCAAAUAUUUGAUUGUUUGUAUCUUUUGUAGGUUCAUAACCCAAGUAUUAUUGCUGAGGACGUGGAAGCAAACAACAGCUUGUCUAUGGCCUCAUGUGCAGAUCAUCAAUUGCAGAAUAUCCAAGUAUGAUUGUGAACAUAAAUGAAUCAUCAAGCUGCACUGGGUAAAUUCACAUAAACAACUUAUCACCUCUAUGAGUUCCUACAAAUUUAAAGAAAGUUGUAUGAGACGUUAAGCUUUUGAAAUAUUGUGGAAAAAGGAAAACUAAAAGUAAAACAACAUGCCCUUGAUUGGCCUUUUGUCUUUUUAUAGGGCUCUUUAUUUUGUUUAAUGCCGAGUUACAAUUGGCAAAAUGAGUUGUUUAGAAAUAACUUGAUUGGGACCAUUGUAAUUUUAUAAUUUUUGUUAUAGUUUUUUCCAUGUAAUAAGAGAAUUAGAGACUUUUUAAUGUGAAAUGGCACAUUACAAGAUUAUAGUUGAAGGUUGGCUUGUAUUUGGUAGCAUUGAUUUUAGUAGAAUAAUAGAAUUAGAUGGAACUGAAGGUAAUCUUUAUUAGUAAAACUAGCAUUUGCAGUCUCUUAACUCCACUCAGGCAGCAUAGUUUACAAAUAGUACCACUAUGUUUUUAAUUAAAACUUUAGCUUUGUGUUUUUUUGCUUUUUUGUGGAUAAAUUUUAAUUCAUAAGUAGGUUGUAAAAUUGAGUGUUCUCUCUCUAUACAUAUACUUUAAACAUUAAAAAAAAUGUAUAUGAUGAUUAAACAAUAUGAAGACUUUUUAUUUUAUUUUAAGUCUUAAUUUUUAUUAGUUACCUCACUUAUGAAUUAGCUUGACUUAAUAAAAAACCAUUAGGGCCCUUCUUGCUUGUUCAUCAAGCUUCUUUUGUUUCAAUUUUAAGAUUUUGUUCGAAUUACUAUUAUAAGUGCUUAAUUAUAAACCUUCUAAAUAUCUGCUUUUACUUGUCUAUCUUCUACUGCUCAUCACUCACUUACGUUUUAAUGGGUUAGUUGCAAAGUUGUUAUUAGUGGCAACAUGUUACAAUAUUGUUGCUUGUACUUCACUUUGAUGAAGAUAUACCUAUUGAGGUUUUAUAUCUACAUACACAUUUUCAUUAAAGUGGUUAGUGUUGGUGUUCACAAGUUGCUUUGGCUUCAAACAUUACUAUAUAAUAAUGUAGAUCAACACUCGUUGAAAUAUUUUUCUUAUUAGCAUGGUUUUCAAGAUAUUCAGUGUUUGCCUUUAUAAUUUUGGAUAGAAGAGUAACAUUGUUGGAGUUCAUUUCAACUGCAUAAAGUGUUUUGAAUUGUUAUCACACAGAUAUAUUUAAAUGAAUGAUAAUUAAGAAGUUUACAAUUUAACUUUUGGUGAAUAACUUGUUGUUUUGAAAUUAAAGUUCAAAGGGAAUUGAUGAGUACUCGAUGAAAGAGCUCUCGCAACUUCGUGAUCAAUAGGCCACAUUUGUUGCCAAGUUAAUUAAAACCUACAAUCGCGAGGUAAUAUAUGAGUAAUUUAGGACCACUUUUGCUUCCAAAUCUCCAAGACUUAUUUUUUGUGAUGUUCUAAUUGAUUUUAUGUGCUUGUAGGUGGGGAAAAAAAAUGAAGCCACGUAUGGAUAUUCAGUACAUUCUUGUGCUUAUUCUUGUUGGUUAAUGUUUGUUAAAACUGAAUUUAGUACUUUGUUGUUUAAAACUUGUCGAAAACUUAAUUUGAUACUUAUGUUCUCUUUUUUUCCCCAAACAGUGAUGUAGUUAAAUUAUGUUAAUUUAAUUGAUGUAUUUGGGAUAUUUAUUAUGUGAAUUGUGUUGGGAGAUUUGAUAUAUUUAAUAUAUUUAUUUUUUAAUUAUAAAACAAACUGGAAAAAUCCAAUAAAAAUAAAAAUAUAUUACUAACCAAAAGCAGCAUAACAUCACCAAAUACUGACUCAAUUUUAAAUAUUGACAUAUAAAUAGUAUCAUUAAAUAUUUACACUUCGUAUUAUUAUUUUAGUGAUACUGUGGUGACAAGAAUUAUUGACACGUAAAUAAUAUCAUUAAGUACUAACGACAUAGUGUCAUUAUUUUGGUGAUACUAUAGUAACACGAAUUACUGACACGAAAAUCACUCACACCAAAAAUUAGUGUCAGUGUGUUCUGGCUGGAGCAUUACUGACACAAUUAACAAGUGUCAGUAAAAGUUAUUACUGACACAAAAUUGGUGUCAGCAAAACCCAUUUUUCUAGUAGUGAAUAAAAAAAUAUAAAGAUAACAGAAAAAGUUAUCUAUAUAAGUUGUUAUGGCUCCAGAUCAUAAGUACCAUUCUAUUAUUUUCUGACAUCUUAUCAUCAUAGUUAUAUAUAUAUAAAGGAUUCUCUGGGAAAACUUGUUGAUUUGGAAGGCAAAUCGCGAGGCUUGCAUUAUAAAUUCAGGUACGCUUCCGCAUAUUCUGUUAAUAACUCUUGGUGAUAUAACAUGAAUGUCACUAAGAUUUAGGUGAUAGUUUUCAUCAAAGGAUUAUUUUCUAAUAGAGUUAAUUACCCUUCGUUGACAUAUGUUUUGAAAAUUUUCAAAAAGGUGAUAAUUUUUUAAAAAUACUCGAACAAGUGAUAUUCCAUUAAGUUUUGCCGUUAACUUUAAGAAAAAUAAUAAAUUACUUUUUAUCCCAGCAAUUAACUAGAAAAUGAUAUUCUUACCCUUAAAAUUUGUUAAAAAUAACAUUUCUACCCCUACAAUUAGUUGCAAAUGAUAUUUCUACUCCUACUUAAUUAUUUUUUAUUUUUAUAUAGAAAAUUAUUUAAAAAUUAAAUCUAAGUCUAAUUAAUAGGGUUUUUUUUUGUUAAAUCAAACAAAUUUUUUUUUGAAAAAUUUCUUGUUGAAUCAAACUGAUUUGUGAACAUAAAGAAGCAAAACUUUAAUGAAUUGUAGAGUACUAUAUAAAUCUAAUAUUUUUAUCUCUUUGGCUUUAUGAAAGAAAAAAUAUCAAUUUUAUCCAAUUUUACCCUCAGCUGAUUAAAGUUAACGGAAUGUCACCCGCUCGAGUAUUUUUAAAACAUGUGUGUCAUCUUUUUUAAAUUUGUCAAAACAUGUGCCACCCAAGGGUAAUUAACCUUUUCUAAUGAUCUAAACUCAUAGAUCUCUCUCUCUCUCUCUUUGUGCCAAAAAUCAGCUCAUGUUAUACACGUUCUUGUUGUUGCUGAUGCUCCAUCUCUGCUGCUACUGUUGUUGCUAUUGCUCUGCUUUGUUUGUUAGAUUUUGUUGUGCUAUGAAAGAAUUGGGUUACAAAAAUUUACAAGAGUUUGGUCUUAAUUUGAAUUGGUCACUUUGUAGUAGAAUUUUUUUUUUAAUAUUAAUACUAAAUUAUUUAGGUAUGUUCGUGUAUGUAGUAGUUAAACAAUUACUUUUUAACUAUAAGUACGACUUCUUAUCAAUCAAGCAGUCAAGCAAAAAUUACUUCGGCAAGUUGGUUUUAAUCGGAAUAACCUUAUCAUCUCUCUUCUUCUCUUUGCAGAUGACAAUCUCAUUUUCUCACGAGCCACAGUUAAAGAAUGCUCUCAUCUGAAACCAAUAUUUGAUAUGUACACAGCAGCUUCAGACCAAUUUUUUAAUAUGGACAAAUCUUCAAUGUUUUUUAGCCCGAAUGUGUUCCAGCACACCAUUGGUAAGAUAAAAACCCUUUUCAACCUUCAAGUGGUCUCCUCAUAUGAACAGUAUUUGGGGCUCCCUUCUGUGGUUGGCCGAAAUAAAACUGCAUUUUUCAACGUACUAAAAAAUAUAGUGUUGAGCAAAUUAAAUCAGUAGAAGUCUCAAUUGUUUUCUUAUGAAGGCAAGGAAGUUUUAAUCAAAGAAGUCAUUCAAGCAAUUCAUACUUACGCGAUGAGUGUAUUUAGAUUACCUCAGGGACUGUGUGAGGAUAUUCAGCGGCUCACUAAAAGAUUCUGGUGGGGCACCAACCAUAAAUCAAAAGGCAUGCACUAGCUUUCAUGAAAAAAUUUAUGUGCGACAAAGAAAGAAUGAGGUAUAGGUUUUUAGGAUUUAGUUUCUUUUAACCAAGCUCUGCUCGGUAAAAUGAGUUGGCGAAUUUUACAAGAUGUGGAUUCACUAAUGGUCAAAACUUUAAAAGCUAGAUACUUCCCUAACUCUGAUUUUCUUAGUAGCAAAAUGAGUUGCAAUUCUUCGUUCUUAUGGAAGAGUCUUUUAUGAGGUAGGGAACUUGUGAAAGCUAGAUUGUGUUGGCAUAUAGGCGAUGGAAAAAAUAUUUACGUGUACAAAGAUCAUUGGAUUCCUAAACUAGUGUCUUUCCAACCUGUUUCCCCAAAAACCUUACCUAUGGAGACCAAGGUACCAGAGCUUAUUAAUAGCAAUGGGACUUGGAACAUUCCCCUUAUUUAGAACCAAUUUAUGCUGCUAAAAAAUCUUAAAUAUGGUGUUUAACAUUUAUAUCCUUAUAAGUUAAAAUGAAUAAAUGUGAUUAAGUUUUAUAGUUUAGCAAAUAAGUAUAUUUAAUAGAGCUGUUUUGGGAUAUAAUAUUUACUUCUUCAUGCCUUUUCCUACUUAGAUAAAAGUCACAAAAAUUUACUCUUUUUUUUUUUUAAUUCAAAUGUAAAUGUCUGAAAAAUCAAAUAUAAGUUAAAGAAAACAGACGAGCAAUUUUUAAAAAGUUUGAAAUAAAAAAAAAAAUUCAAAUUUUAGACAUUUAACCAAUAAGCCUCCAUUUCACCUUGGUCAUGAGAGUAGUUGGCUACCAAGAAAUUUCUGAUCCCUGUCUAGUAUGGGCGUGUCAUGAAUUAAGCCACGUAUUUUAAUGAGCAGCAGGGCUGUUCACACCUCAUUGUUGAAGUUGAUGAUUCGAACUUUAUCAUACCCUUUACGAAGGUCAAUCUUUUUCCAUAUAUUUGCAAGUAAAUAUUGUUAGUUUUGGAACUAGAUAUCUGGACACUACUGUCACAAGACUGAAAUAAACUUCAACCAAAAAUAAUAUGUUUGUUUGAGAUGUUCCGCUAAAAUAAAGAUAAAUUAUAAUUUUUCUUAGGAAUUUGCAGGCGUAAAAUGACGCAUUUUCUGUUUUAAGAAAGAAGGAAAAUCAAAUUUUGUCUACCAAAUAAUUGCGCAAUUCAAUUUAAAUUAGGUAUUUCACUCACAGAUACAAGUAGCAUUUAACUACACAUACAUCUCUUACCAUAAUAUAUUCCAAUAGGGAGAAAAAGGAGAAGGAUUUUCAAUGCGAGAUCUAAAAAUAUAUCUUUCCGUGGCACCGGUACUAAGCACUCUAUGGUUCGAGUCUUUAGCAGGGUUAUUCAUAAGAAUCAACCGUUUAUUCGCCGACGCAGUAUCAAUCACCAUUGGUUGUUCUUCUACUGAUUAAAAUACAGAUUUAAGAGCAAAGCAAUUUGAAUGCUUGUAAUUGUUACUCUUGUAUCCAAUUUUCCCCAGGAAUUACAGGAUCAACAAUCCCAUCAAACAUAUUACUUUCAACGUGUCUUUAACUGGGGAAAGCAUUAAUAAAUUAUCAGGACAAGCUUUUUAUAAGUAAAUUUCUGCCCAAACAAAACAUCAAGUAACGAGAUAUACCAAAACUACAUUUUCAAUAAACUGUGUUUUAUUUUGUUUGGGUAAACCAACACCGGUUUUAUUUUGUUUCUAUGAGGCUUUGUCAUCAUUUUGUGUGUUUACCUUUUUUCCACGGCAAGGUUACAUGGAUGUUGAUUGUACGACUUUCUUUAUCCAUGCUUUGCAUUGCCGUGUGUUUGGGAUUCGCCGGUGACUAUUGUUGGCUUUAAUCAUCUCUCAAACUGUCAUAUCCUAACCCAUAAUCAACGCUCGGAAUGAAGACUUUUCUUGGCCUCAAUAAUUGAUGCAGAUUAUACACAGUAGUAAAAAUUGGCAUGGAGUCCAGGAGUUUCGAUAUAACAAUAUAUCCUGAAAGCUAAUGAUAAUUAUAAUGUCAUCCAAAUUGUUCCUUCUAUUUGAAAAUAUAGCUUUGUUUUCUGUGAUAUUUUUUCAAUUGAAGCCCACAACUGCUGAUUCUAACAACAUAAUAAUAAGGUGCAUUGAUGAGGAGAGAGAAGCGCUUCUCACUUUUAAACAGAGCUUGGUGGAUGAACAUGGCGUUCUGUCUUCCUGGGGAAGAGAAGCUGACAAAAGAGAUUGCUGUAAAUGGAGAGGAGUCCACUGUAGCAACACAACUGGCCAUGUCAAGGUGCUUAAUCUUCGAACAUCCGACGAGGAAAACGCUCAGAGGAAGGUCUUGAAAGGUGAAAUUAGUCCUGCUUUGCUUGAAUUGCAUGAUAUAAGACAUUUGGACCUUAGUAACAAUCACUUCAGUGCAAGCCCAGUUCCUGAGUUCAUUGGUUCCCUCAGCAAAUUGAGGUACCUCAAUCUCUCUUGUAGCAUACCUUUAGAACUCCCUCGAAAAUUCCGGAACCAUUCAGGAUUGGAAUAUCUCAACCUAGAAAACUCUAGUUUAUUUAGUGUGGGAAGCUUAGAGUGGCUUUCUCGUCUUUCUUCUUUAAGACACCUUGACCUGAGUUACAUUAAUCUCACUAAAUCUAGUGACUGGUUUCAAGUAGUUGCCAAGCUCCAUUCCUUAAAAUCAUUAGUCCUAUGCUCGUGUGCUCUUCCACCUGUCAAUCCAUCGUUUAUUUGGCACUUCAAUUUGAGUACGUCUAUUGAGACCCUUGAUCUUUCUGACAACAAUCUCCCUUCUUCUUCAGUAUACCCUUGGCUUUUCAAUCUUAGUAGGAAUAUUCUUUUUCUUAACCUUGGCUCUAAUUCAUUACGAGGUUCAAUUCCAGAGGCUUUUCAACACAUGGUUUCUCUAAAAAGUCUUGAUCUCUCUGAUAGUGAACUUGAAGGUGGGAUUCCAAAAUUCUUUGGAAAAAUGUGUAGCUUAAAAGAGUUAGGCUUGCCUUUCAACAAACUCAGUGGACAAUUCUCGCAGGUAAUUCAAAAUCUGUCUUGUGGAUGCGUGGAGAAUUCACUAAAGGGGCUAUAUUUACAAUAUAAUGACUUCACGGGGCCAGUACCUCUUCUUGGAGGAUUUUCAUCCCUGGAAGCAUUGAAGCUUCACUUUAAUCGUUUAAAUGGAACAAUAGACAAGAGCCUCAGCCAGUUGUGGAAGCUCGAGUCUGUGUCACUUCAUGGGAAUUCAU